UCCGUUAUCCUCAUCCUUCUUGCUUUCCUUCUGUUUUUGGUUAUCCAUCUGCAAAAAUUUCUUCCUCUUUUCUACACCCUGCUAUUUUUCCUAGUUGACUAUCAUCAUCGCACUCUUUGGGUUUCACAAUUUUACUCUUAUCAAUUUAUGGGUGAUUCUCUGUAAAAUAUAAUACUCUUAUGUAAUUUUCAUGUUUGCAUGAUUCAUUUGCUUGAGUAUAUACUUGCAGAGGUGAUAACUUCAGCAGAAUUUCAUCCUAUACACUGUAAUAUGUUAGCUUACAGUAGUUCAAAAGGUUCAAUUCGUCUUAUUGAUAUGCGACAGUCUGCAUUGUGUGAUACCCACAGUAAAUUGUAAGUGACCCGUGGUAUUUCUGUUUUUUCUUGGUUGAUUUAUCAUUUUAACAGUCAUCUUUUGCCGUAAGAUAGUUCUGUCGCAUUUCCUUGUAUUCUUUUUUCUGGUUUUUGAAGUUUCUUGAUGGUACAGGUUUGAGGAACAAGAAGCUCCAGGCUCCAGGUCUUUUUUCACAGAUAUCAUAGCAUCAAUCUCAGACAUCAAGUUUGCCAAGGAUGGAAGACACAUACUAAGUCGUGACUACUUGACCCUUAAGGUUGAUAUUGUUUUUACGGAAUUAAUUCUUCUCCUCUUGAAUGACACUUUGCCCUUGUGUCGUAGGCAUCUGAUGCUUGCAUAAAAGCUGAGUUCCUAUAUUUGUUUUCUCCUUCCUCCUUUUCUAUUGUUUGGUAACAAGGUUUUCUUUGCGUCAGCUGUGGGACAUAAAUAUGGAUUCUGGUCCAGUUGCAACCUUCCAAGUUCAUGAAUACCUUAGGCCUAAGGUAAUGUGUACUUCUAAGGCUCUUCUAUUUUGUUUAGAUACUACUUAAAAAAAGACCCUAUAUUUACCCGUAUGAUGGAUGUUUUUCUGUUAUUAUUUUGGGACCUUGAGCAGCUUUGUGAUUUGUAUGAAAAUGAUUCCAUCUUUGAUAAAUUUGAGUGUUGUCUAAGUGGAGAUGGACUUCGAGUGGCUACUGGUUCCUACAGGUACAGUUUUUCUUUUUAUUAUCUCAAAUAAACAGUCAAAUAUGCCAGGACCUGGACAAUACAUAACCUAGUGAUUUCUGUUAUUCCAGCAAUCUGUUUCGGGUGUUUGGUUGUUCUGAAGGUAGCAAGGAAGCAACAACACUAGAAGCCAACAAAAACCCCAUGAGGUAUGUUCCAAUAUUCUGUUGUAGGUAUAAUGAUUUGAGUAGCUUUUAAAGGAACUUGUUUGACCUUUCUUGGUUUGGAAAAUCCUGAAUCAAAAGAAUGACAUUUUUAUUUUUGUAAUGAAUUUCCAGAAGACAAGGUCUGACAGCAUCAAGACCUUCAAGAUCUCUUGCUAGUCCUUCUGGUGUUGUUAGACGAGGUAUGCGUUUCACAUUGUUCUUAGAAUCCAAAAAGUUUGAGAUGUUUUAAUCAUCGAUUUGUGAUUUUGCUUGAUCAUUAGUGAAUUAGGAUUAUAGCCUUCUUUUUUUCCUGCGAAGUAUCCAAUUUCCAAACGACACUUAUACUCGCAAGCUAUUCAAGUUCCACUUGAAAAAGAAAUUUCUAACUUGAUUCAGUUGUUGUUGACUCAAGCUUGAGCGAACUGAAUUUGUUAAUACUCAAUUCAAGCUGCUCGCUAGCCUAAUCAAAGCUUUAUUUAUACUAUAUAUUUUUAAAAUUUUAUAAUUAAAUUAGUAUCUUACCCCAUAUAUAUGCACUUAAAAUCCAGACCCUACUUUUUUUCACUAAUUUUUUCCUUUAACAGCUGUCAUUUUUUCAUUCCCCUGUAACACCUCUUUUUCUUCUCAACAAGUCUGCGUCUCCUACUUUUGAAAUUUGAAUACUGCUUGCUGCCAUUUACAAUGAUUUACUUUCUUUCCUUCUUUCUUUUUCUUAAGCUCUUAUAUUUUCAGAUCUGGGUUUUGUUUUGCUGAUACUCAGAUUUGAUUUCAACUUUGUAUUUUGCUUUUGUUAUUCGUAUUUUGUGUUUUUUCUUUUACUUUUUUAUGUAGCUUUGGUUUGGUUUCAACUAUUUAUUGUAGUUCUGGUAAUUCCAGGGAAAAAAUCUUUGUCAAUACAUUGACUAGUAAUGUAUAUAAUAACUUCGGUUUGAACACUGAUUGCUAAUCCUUUUUCCCAUCAAUUCUUAACAUUUCAUAUUUCAUUAUUUUAAGAUAAAAUUUGUAUAUGAAACGAGCUCAGACUCAAUCUCGAGUAUAUAAAUUGUGCAAACAAGUUUAAUCAAGCUGAGCUCGAAGAAUUCGAUUUAUUUUCAACCCAAGUUCAAGCUCAAAUGAUAGGGUUCGGUUAAGCUUGAACCGAGUUUUGAGUCAAGCUCAAGCUCAGCUUGGCUCGAUUACACCCUAUGGCUAUACUUGAGCUUUGUUUCACAUCUUUUUCAGCUAUCCAUAUCUCGUCUCAUUUUUUAGGGAAAGGAGCAGAUAACUCAGCAGUUGAUGCAAAUGGAAAUACUUUUGAUUUCACAACAAAGUUGCUACACCUAGCAUGGCAUCCAACUGAAAACUCCAUCGCUUGUGCCGCAUCAAACAGUCUAUACAUGUACUAUGCGUGAAGAUGAUCCAAUGGAGCUAAUGUUUUUUUCCCGGGCAGGGCUUUUGCUGAUUGCUUUUUGCUUUGCGCCUUCCUCUCUAAUUAAUGAUGCUGAAGCUGCAGCGGUUUAUCACAAUACUCUUGGUGAUUUAUUGAAAUUUUCUAGGCUUAAGUAUAAAAAAAAAUCUCUUCAAUUAAAAUUAAAUAAUUAUCCAAGCCCCGAUCAUUUUAUUACAAUCAAUUAAACAUCUAUUUUCACUUAAUUGACCUCUAGAUUGGAUGGAAACUGAUGAUACCUCUAAUCAAGGGCUCAAUUUGAUGGAAAUAGAUGUUUGAAAUUUUAAUGAACUGCAAUAAAAUGAUGUGGGCUUGGAUGAUCAUUUGGUUUUAGUUUAGGGACCUUUUUUUAUAUUUAAGCUAAUUUUCUAUCAUGUCUAAUGUCUUCCAAGUUCCAACACCAGAAGUCCAAUGUUGCUGUUGUUGAUUUGUGGAGGAGGUAAAUUGGUCCUUUCAUACACAUUUAAUAUUCUUUAUAGGGAUAGACACAGUGGUAUUCCCAGUCUGACUUUGUUUAGUGGGAGAAAAUAUGAUGAUUAGCAGUCCGUCUACACUUAAACAACAGCUUUUCUAAUUAUGCUGGAAAUGGCAAUGGCAAUGGCAAUGGCAAUGACAAGGAAAAUGUUGCUGGGUUUUGGAGACCAAUGGGGAUCUUAAACCCAAAUUCCAAGGGGAAAAAAGAGCUAUACAGGUGCAUCAAUUCUCUUUGAUAUAAUUUUAGCCCUUUGUGCUUAAAUCUUGUACUAUUUCAACUUUAAUAUGUGUUAUGAUUAUUGUUCUUUUAAUUUCUAACUAUUUUCCUUUCUCUUCCUCCGUAGCCAUAGAAUUUGCUGUUUUCUGUUGGUUUUGAGAUGAAGUAGAAGCUCUCGUUAAAAACCAUUCUCUGUCUGACUCACGUUAUCUCCCGAGUUAUUUAUCUAUGAUUUUAUAUUAUAUUUUAGUUCUUGAUAUUAAUUCAGUUGAAAAAUGAUUAAAAAUCAUUUUUUUACAAAAUAUCAAAUGCCAUAUAGAGUGUCCUUUUAUCUUUGAACUUAAAGUAUAAUUUCAAUUAAAGUUAUUUUUUUCUCGUAAUGUUUUGUUUUGUAAAUAUAAUUUAAGUUUUUGGGUUUGAUAAGUUUUUUUCUUUUAAGUAAAGCAUUAAUCUUAUUUCACCAAAGCAAAUCCAUGUUUGUUUUUAGGCAACUUGGGUCCAUGCAAGAAAAGAUCAUAUAGUUAAGUAUUCUUUUUUAGUUUCAUUAUUAAAGAAUGGAACUUUUUUCAAGUAUGCUCGUAUCACUAAAUAAAAAUUACUAAAAUAUAACAAUUUUGAAGCUUAAACCACCAAAUGGUGCUUAAAUUAUAUAUUGAAAGCUUAUAUAUUAUAUAACUAAAUAAAUAUUACUAGAAUAUAAUAAUUGAGGUUUAAACCACAAAAUGCUACUUAUAUACUGUCUUUUUUACAUGUUGGUCUAUAAACUAUUUUAGGUAAAUUACAUCUAAAGUAACUAAAUUAUUAGUAAGUUUAUGUUUAAUCACUCAACUUUAAAAAGUUACAAAAUAGUCAAUGAACUAUUUGAAAGUUUUUAUUUAAGUCAUUGAACUAUUCACAAGCUAUUAUUUAAGUCGCUGAGUUGGUAAGUUUUUUUUUUUUUUAAGUUUAGCUAACGAGCUUUAAGUGAUGAUCCGGCGAUUGGUACGAUGGAUCAAUACCCAUCAAUUAGUAUAACUUACCUUAAAUCCAAAUAGAUUUGAUGGUCAAUGUUGAAUGUUGGAGAAGAAAGUUAAUUGGAUUUUGGUUUCUAGAUACAUGAUGUUCAAAGUUGAUUCAUGAAAAAAUUUGAACCGUAAAAAAAGAAGAGUGUAAGCUUUUGAUUGGUACAAGAGAUGCAAAUAGAGAAUGUCAUACAAUAAUGAUUUAACAAUACAGUGAUUCAAAUAAUGUGAAUAAUUUAGUAACGGCUUUUGUAACUUUUUGAAAUCGAGUGACCAAAACAUAAACUUAGUAAUAAUUUAGUGACUUUAGGUGUAGUUUAUCUAACUAUUUUUUUCUUAAGUGGUACUCAAAUUAUAUUGUUAUUAAAAUUACUUCUUAGAAUAAUGUAGUAUAGAUUAGGUAUCAUUUAUAAUAAAAUAAAAUAAAAUAUAAAUUUAAUUAUAUUUAAGAAAAUGUGUAAUUUAAAUAAUAAUUUAUGGUUUUAAGUCUAAUUUCAACCAAACAGUAAAAUGUACAUUUCGUGCCUCUGGCCUUUUUGUACAAGCAUUGCUAGCGUUUGCAGCACAUAGAAGGACAAUAUGUUCCACUCCCAUUCAACCAAAAGACUUGGAAUAAAGUAGGGUGGAAAGUAGUGGUGAUCAUGGGUUGGGCUACUCGGCCCGGCCCAACAGCUCACCCGAAAAAUAGGAGGGUUCGGGUAAAAAUAUAGGCCCGAAAUAUGGGUUUGGGUAAAAAAAUGAGGCCCGUUUAGAAAACAGGCCGGGCCUCAUGUAAAUUUUUUUGGCCCGGGCCCGGCCUAGCCGAAAUUAUAUAUUAAAUAUAUAUUUUUAUUUUUAAUCAAAUAUAUAUAUUUAAUAUAUAUAAAAUAUAUAUUUAAUAUGGGCCAGGCUGGGCCGGACCGGGCUCAUGCUUAGCAAUUUUUUCGAGCCGAGCUUUGAUAAAUUUUUAGGCACAUGUUUCGGGCCGGGCCUGGGCCUAAAAAAUGGGCCUAAAAUUUUAUCUGGGCCCGGCCCGGCUCGACUCAUGAUCACCUCUAGUGGAAAGGGUGGAAAAAUGGAAAAUUGAAGGAAUAAAAAACAAGAAAUUUGGAAAAUAUAAUUUAUCUUUUCAUAUUUAUAUUUGAUACGAAAGGUAAGAGAAUUAAAAGAAAAAUAUUCAACUCUUAUUAUAAGUGAAUUUCUAAAGAUUCUUUUUAAUUUUUAAAAAUUUUAGAAAUUAUUUUAUUUUUUAGUGUCAAUAUCAAAAUAAAAUAGGAUAUGUGGUCUGAAAAUGAGGAAUUUAUUCUCUUCUUUUUCUAAAAAAAUGCUUUUUUUUUGCUAUUACUUGGUAUUGUUAAAAAAUGAGAGGAAAAAAAUAUAAAACUUUUUAAAAAUGCAUAAUUUUGAAUUGAUAUGCAUAUUUCUUUCAUUUUCUAUAUUUUUAUCAUUAUAAUUUGGGAGAAUUUGGUUUUAUGCAUUAAAAUGAAAAGUUGAAUCUCACUUAUUUAUUUCCUCAUUUUUCUUUCCAACUAAUUUUUUUUUUACACUUUUUCAUUUUUUCUUUCUAUCUUAUUAUUUUUCCACUCAAUCAAAUGCAUCUAAGAAAACACUGCUCCUGGUAAAAAUGCCAGCUCAAAUAAGCAAUAAGUGGAAAAAAACCUUUUUGUAUGUUUUUGAAAAAAAAUUAAAAUGAUAUGUUUUAUGUCUAUUUUUUUAUUUCAAUAAGAAAUUAAAUUUAAAUAUAUCUUUACGUUCCCUUUCUCUACUUCACAACAAGUACCUUUACUUAAAAAAAAAGUUAAAAAAAAAAAACACUACAAGUAAAUAUUAAGAUUUUACUUUCUCCUAAUCUUUUACAAAAAUACUAUUUUUUCCUUUUAUGAAAUUUAUAAAAGAUAUUUUUUAAUAUAAUUAAAUAAUUAAAUAAAAUGUUGGUUUAUAAUAUUAACUAAAAAAUGCAAAAAAAUAAUAGUUUGAAGCUUUUAUUUUAUUUAAAGUAUAUGGAAAAUUUUGUCAGAGAUUUAGAUAAGAAAUUCGUUGAGAUAAUUUUACUUGAAUAUUACUUUCGGCCUGAACAAGAUUAUACUCAAAUCAUAAGGCAAAUGACGGCACUUGUAGCUAUAAAAAAUACAAAAAUAAAUAAAAAUUACAAAGUUGUGGGAGAUUUAAUAAUUUUAUAAGAAUUUUAGUAAUUUACAUGAUAAGAGAUUCAUUAAUUUUUUUGAAUUAAUAAUUUUAUAAAAACUUUAGUAAUUUUUGUUAAUAUUUAGUAUUUUUUAUAAAGAAAUCAAUAAAUAUAAAAUUAUAUAAAUUAGACCUCUCCACCUUUCCUAGCCGAGCCGAGCCGAGCCUAGCCUAGCCUAGCCAGGCGUGCUUGCUAACAAAUUCAAACUACUACUAAAACCAAACGAUAAGCAGCAGCAGUAACAUGAGCCCGGAAUUGAGAAUUGUCACCGAAUCAAAGCUCUCCCAAAUUUCUAAAACUCACCGACCCAUGUCCCUAAUCACCCGAGCCAGCGCCAAUCGCCUGCCCCACCUCCUCUUCGCACAGCGGGCUCUUUCUUCCUCCUCCGCCACCCCAACCACUUAUGUUCGCCCUUCUCCUCCUCCUUCUACCUCCGGUCCUCCCCCCGGCAUCUCCAAGACCGCCGAAUACGUGAUCUCCAAGGUCGAUGACCUCUUGAACUGGGCCCGUCGUGCUUCCAUCUGGCCCAUGACCUUCGGCCUUGCUUGCUGCGCUGUUGAAAUGAUGCACACCGGCGCUUCUCGCUAUGAUUUCGAUCGCUUUGGUGUCAUUUUCAGGCCUAGUCCUCGCCAAUCCGAUUGCAUGAUCGUUGCUGGCACUCUCACUAAUAAAAUGGCCCCUGCUCUCCGCAAGUAUGUUACAAUCUCAUUUCUUUCUUUGUAUUUUAUUUAGCUCAAAAUCUGUUGCCUUUGUAGUUUGAUAAUGUUUGAGAUUUAAAACGUUAAAACUUUUAAAAAAAAUUCUAUUACUAUUUAAAUUAUAGUCUAAGUGCCAAUGAGGCAGCUUAAUGGCAAGGUAUCGGGAAAUUUGAGGUCUAGUUUCAUUUUCUAUCAUGUGGUGUACUCUGGUUUGUUAGUUUGAGUUCAGUUUGCUUAUGAAAUUAUAGUAUGGGUGUAUGGAUUGUAAAUUUUGAUGGAAAAUUAUCAAUAAUUAGAUUAGGAUUUUUAAAUAAAAAUUAAGAGAUUUAAUUUUUAUGUUUUAAGUAAAUGAUUAAGUUUACUUUUAUCCUACCAUGUGUGUGGGUGUUCUGGUUUGUCGAUUUGAUUCCGAUUAGUACUUGUAAUGAUUGAUUCCGACGGGUUUUGAUUGUAUUUUAUUGUAAUUUAGUAUGUUUGUUAAGUUCAUAAUAUGAGUGGAUUGAUAAGUUUUGAUGGAAACUAUAUUAGGAUUUUUAAAUAAAAAGGUAAGAGAUUUAAUUUUCAAUUUUGUAGGUAAAUGAAUAAGUCUCAAAUUCAUUCAAAUACAGGGAUUUGCAGCAUAUUUCAACUUCAAUCUAAGAAUUUAAUAGUCCUUUUCUUUCCAUCUCUAUAUUUUAGGUUUGGAAGCUCUUUAGUUUUGUUUUGUGCAGUCCAAACAAUUGUUUUAUCUCAUUGUUACAUUUUUGGGCUAAUUAAUACAGGCUUAAUUGCAAUUUUUAAUUCAUAAGAACUCCAUUUGUCAAGGAAAUAUUUAGAUGAUCCUAUCUUUUUAAUCAUGUAAAAUUAUAAAUUGAUUUGUGACUGAAUUCCAAUGAUGCUAGCUCUUUCCUUUGAUUCAAGUUGGGAGCAAAUUUCAAAUACUGAAAGAUCAUAAUAAUAUCUCUGAAUUUAUGGAUUUUUAUUUGGAAUAUGGUAGAUAAAAUAAGAAUGAUAUGAAAUCCACCUGAGGUUGUUUCUUCUUCAGUCUAUACAUUGCCAUCUUUGUGCUCCUUUACAUAAAACAUUGUGCUUGCUACUCCGACUUUGUAUUAGUCUAUUGAACUUUUCAGCUUCCUUCUGAUUUUGAGGAAAUUGUUGAAGAGUCAAGAAGAUGAAGAACUAUGAUUACAACAAUUUUUAUCUGUGAUCUUUCAAGCCCUUAUUUUGGUUGGCUGAACAUUGAUUUUAAAGGUUUAAUUGUAAAGCCUGAAGUUCAAUAUGGAGCUACCUUGAAUUGUUUUGAAUAAGUUUGUGUGAUCUACCUGGUUUGUUAUGUUAGUAGUUAGGUUCACAAAUUAUAAACAGAUUACUUAACAUUGAUGUUUGCUCUAUUGAACUUUUAUAUAACUAGUUUCUUGUGUGUCUAGUCGUAAAAAGCUACCUAAUACCUUGGCAGAGCUUGUCAUAUUUGAGUCGUGGUUGAGUCUGAUUAGGACCAUCGGCUUAAUGUGUGAUGGUGAAUUAUGCAAAGGUUGUUUCAAUGGUGGUUUGGCAUUUUGAUUUGUUCCUCUUGUGUUGUGCCAAAUAAACACCUUAUUUUUUUACCAAUGCUGUUGGUUCGUUCUCUUCUCUCUACUGCUUCUCUUCUGUUUCCUGUUAUUUUCCUGUUUCAGUUGUACAAAUUUGAUUGAGCUUUGGUAAUUUGAUCACCCUAUUGUAAUUUUUGCAGGGUUUACGACCAAAUGCCAGAGCCCAGGUGGGUUAUUUCUAUGGGAAGUUGUGCAAAUGGUGGAGGAUACUACCACUACUCGUACUCCGUUGUUAGAGGUUGCGACAGAAUUGUCCCUGUUGACAUCUAUGUCCCUGGUUGCCCACCCACUGCCGAGGCUUUACUGUAUGGAGUUCUUCAAUUGCAGAAAAAGAUCAACCGCCGCAAGGAUUUCCUCCAUUGGUGGUCCAAAUAAAGUAUCAGAAGUUGCUUCUGGGCUGCUUUUUGGACCCCACUGUUAAGAACAAAUAAACUAGUUCUCUGCUGAAAUGAAAUGUAGAUGGAGAUGAUUGUUAAGCUGGUUUUAAAUAUAAUGUCUGCUUGAUUUUUCCACAAAUCAGGCUUGUGUUACAUGUUUUUGGUGACUACCUCUUCUUGUGUUUGACUACUUGUGCUAUUGAUCAAAGAAUGUUUAAGCUUGUGAAAAAUGUUUUUAGAAAGUGAUUUUGAAGUCAACUAAGAAGUUGGUUGGUUAAGUGGGAAGAUGCUUGUCGGUGUCUUAAUCAUCAUUAAAACAAUGAUGAUGUAAGAGAUGACAAAAAGCAGCUGUGACACAAGCAGUGACAACAGCGGUCAUAAAUGCAAGCAUGACACAUGGAAGCAACCAUAGCCAUGCAAAAAGAAGGAGACGUGGAAGCAAUUACAUCCACAAAGAAGCCGAGUCCUUAUCAGAAACACUGUACGGGAUUCAAGAUACAGUUGUAUAGAAUUUUUAGAAUUCCUCUAUAAAUAGGGAGGAAAGCUCAAUUGUAUAGCAUCUUGUAAAUUACCAACUACUUUACUUUUUAGUUUUCUCUCUUGUAAACUUUUCUUUUUGUAAUAAAAGAGUCUAUAUUCCCUUCCGCUCAUACUCUCAAAUACCCUCUACUCUCCCCCCCCACUUGGUAUUAGAGGUGCCGGUGUAACGAUUUUCUGGAGAAAUAAUAUCGUAAUAUUCAUUGUAAUUUUUUGUCUUUGAUUUACAUUUCUGUUUGUUUCACAGUUGUUUGUUUCAAAACCUAUAUCUGUUUAUCUGUCUUCUUGUUGCCGUUGAGUCCAGGGAGGACGUUAGGUGUUGUGUGAAGACGUUAGGAUAACAGGCCGGUCUUAGGUACCCGAGACAAACAUUAUGAAACAAAUUGAGUGUCAGUUUAAAGAUAAAACUUGUGAUCAUAUUACGCAUAUAGACUCUAGAAAUGAAAACAACAUUUCAUCUCUGAGUAAGGGUAUUAAUAGUCUUGUCGAUAUGACUUCUUUUUAUUUCAGUAAAUUAUAUAGUAAGGUUAAUUCUGUAGAAGAAAAAGUAAAUAACUUAGGUAAUAUAAAAGAAUUAGACUUAAACCAUGAGUCUAAAGAAAUAUUAACUAAUGUUAAUAACAAAUUAGAUUAGGUUUUUAGUAAUAAUAAUAUCGAGUCCGAGGUAGAUUUAGGUCCUUUAUAUUACGGUAAUGGUAAAUAUCAUAUUUUAGUUUUAUCUGAAGAAGAAAACACUUCUUCUGAUGAGUCAGCUUCUAUGUUAAAAAAUUAUAAAAAACAUAAAAAACGCAAAAAAGAUGAUCAACAAAAACAAUAUGAUUUCCAGUCUUAUAAAACCCUUAUAGAACAUUGGAAAGAAAAAUUUACUAAUAGUAAUGAUCAACUAGAAAGAGUUGAAUAUUUAAAACUAAUAGAAGAACUUUAUGAAAAACAUAAAGAUCUUUUUAGUAUGUUUAAUUAUCAAUAUAUGUUAAAAUAUGAUGAUAGCAGUAGUUCAAGUAAUUCUGAACAAACAGAAUUAUUAAAGAAACAAUCUGAAGAAGAAAAAACUUCAACAGAUCAGGAUGAAGACAUAAAAGUCUCAACAUAUAACUCUGAUGAAGAAACCACUUCAUCUGAAGAUGAAAAUAUAGAUAUCCCAGAACCCAUGGAUACUGAACCACCAGAUCCAUAUAGAAAAAGAAAAGUAGAGUCAGAUAGUCAAACAGAUGAUUAUCUUAGAUUUUCUAAUAAAGACUUUGAAUUUGAUAAUGAAAAAUUUAGGGUUUUUGGUAAUAAAACCGAAAACAUAGCUACUAAUGAUGUAAAACCUGAAUACCCAGGGGAAACUUCAAAUCAACCUGUUCAACCAAGAAUAGAUGAUUUAAAUAAAAGAAAUGUUGCUCAAGGAGGAAUAUAUUUAGAUUUAUAUAUAUUCCUAUUAUAGCAGUUCUUCAGCUUCAUUUUCUUUAGUUGUUUUUUCAUCUAAGAAUAAUGAAAAUUUGGUAAGAGCUCUUCGGAAAUUGGCUCUUUGAUUUGAAAUAUGGGUUUUCCAUAUCUCAUUUAUAAAAUCAUAAAAUUCUGGUGAUAAACCAGAGUUAUAAAAAUCUUUAAUUUUUGAAAGAUCUUUUAAUUCAUGAAUUUGUUGUUGAUUCAACAAAUUCUCGGCUCCCUUAAUGACUUCAGCAUAACUUGUUUGUGAUACUGAAUUCGGAUUUUGGGACCAUUAUGAUUGACUCACCAUGUUUGGGGUCAAUGAAAAAGUAUUUCCCAUUUGUUGGUUUACCAUAGGGUAAUUUAAAACAUUUGAUCCAAGUGGUUGGUUUACCAUCGGAUAAGAUACAUAAUAUCCUUGGUUAGGAUAAAAUGGUAUUUGUGCAGGUUCAAAUCCUUUUUUGGAGUUUGAUUCUGCUUUCCCUUUGUUGGGCUUUUUGUGAACAGUUGUCCAUUCACCAACUAUUAGAGGUUGUUUACCUCUAUCCAUGAGGCCUGCUCAAGAAAUCAACAAAUAUUAGUAAUUAAUUUACAAAUACUAAUUAAUUUUAAUAGGUGUAAAUUUUUUAUUACACACUUUUAUAUUAUUUUCUUCAAGUGGAAUUUCCACAAAAUCUUCUUUUAUUGAUAACCAAAUAGAAUGUUUAUCAAUAGUGAAAGGUAAAUAUUUACAAAUAAAAUUAUUCCCUAAUAAUAAAUCUGUUUUCAUUUUUGGAAAACAAACUAUUUUAGGAAUCAUAAAUUUAACAUUAUUUAUGUAAAUUAGUAUGCUUUUAGCUUUAUAUUUUAUUAUAUUUUUACUUCCAUCUAUUCCCAAUAUUUUUAUGGGUUUUUUCAUUAAUUCCCAUUUUUCUACAGGAAUUGCAUUUUCUCUGCAACUACAAAUUAUAGCUCUAGUAUCAACCAAAGCAUUUAGAGAAUAUUUUUUAUAUUUUCUAAAUUGAAACGUAACUUUAAUCGUUAUUUCAACUUUUGACUUUUUAUCAAUUGUUGAAGUUUGAAUUUCUUCCAUUCUAGUUUUUCUAGAAUUAUUACUAGGUUCAGUAGGAAAUAUAGGAAUUUGUACAGUUUAGAAGUACAUUCCAUUCUAGUUUUUCUAGAAUUUGUACAGUUUUUAUUCCUAUUGGUGUACUAUUUGUACUAAUAUUAUCCUCUUCUUCUGGUUGAGAGUUAGAGGGUAAAAUUAAAUUUUCAUUUGUAUUUGUUAUACAAUUAUUUUUAAAAUACAAUUUAUUACCUGAUGACAUAUAUUCUAUAGUACUAACUGGUUUAGAAGUACUAGAACUAUUAAUUUUUUCCAUCAUCCAAUCUCUUGGAAUUGACAGAUCUCUUAUAUCUAAUAACCUUGGCUGAAUUUCAGUAGUGAACCUGUUUGGUUCAAAGAGUUCAAUAAUUUUAUUAUUAAUCUCUUUUAUUUCUACUUCAUCAGUAUUUGUAUAUUCAUUAAUGGAAGUCUAGCUGAUUGCUAGAUCUUCUGCUAAAUCAUUAAUAUCAAAAUUUUUUGUCUGAAUUCUAAGGCAAAGACACUCUUCUAUUAGAGGAUCUGUAAUGGAAAUAAAGUAAUUAGGUUUAACUUUAAAUCCACAAAAUCAGCUUAAUGGAAAUUAAAUCCUUAAAUAAACAAUUAAAAAUCAUAAAAUUUUAAAAUACCUCAAAUAGUGAUUAAAUCCUUAAAUAAACAAUUAAAAAUCAUAAAAUUUUAAAAAUAUAUAAAAUUUAUAAAACUGGUUCAAUUGUAAUUAUUAAAGGUUUAAUUGAUCAUUGUCCUCUUUACACAUUUUAAAUUUAGUCCUUUUAUUUUUAAUUUCUAAAAUUUGGUAUUUUUAUUCUUUUAAUUUAAUAACUAAAGUUUGAUUAGUAUUAUUUUCAAAAGAUUUUCAUUAAAUUUAAAUAUUCACAUUAAAAAAAAAUUGCUCAUGGUGUUGUCAAACUAGAUUUGAAUGUUAAAUCAAAAGAAUAUAACAUCUAAAAUCAUGAGAUUAAAAAGGUAGAAUGGAUUUUUUCUUUUUUAGGUUUAAACAUUUAAGGUAUUAAACUUUAAAUAUGUAAAAGUAUAAAGAUUGAGAUCAAAUUAGGCAAGAGCAGAAGUCAACUCUCUCACUCUUGAGUCAUGUGUCAUGUGGGAGUAGCAAAAUAAAAGUAAUGGACACUUUUCGCAUUUUAUCUCAUUAAUAGCACCCCUCGAAAUUAGUCAUUCAUUUGGAGAGUGGAUUUAAAUCAGUUAGAUCAAAAAUCGAUAUAGAUUAAUUGAAUAAAUUUUUUUAAUUGAAUCGAUAAAUUGAUUAAUUCGGCUAUUAAUUCGAUUUAAAAAAAUAAAUUAUAUUAUCUCUUCUUAAUUUAAUCAAUUAAGUAUUUAUAAAUAUUAGGGAUAAGUUUUAAAAUUAUGUAUGAUCUAAUUAUCACAAAUUAUUAAUACAAUUUAUUGAUGUAGCAUUAAUUUAUGUUUAUAUACUGCAUAUAAAAAUAAUUAUAUUUAUCCAAAAUAAAAAUAAAUUGAUGUAUUUAUUUUUAUAAAUAUAUAUGAUUGAAUCAAAAUUAAAAUUUGGUAUAUACAUUUCAAGCGCAAUCAAAUUUUAAUAUGUAUAAUUAUACCAAAUUAAAGUUUAAAAUUAUUUGAGAUUUAUCUUUGAAAAUUAUAACUAAUUUGUUAUACCAUUCAUAAUGUUGAUAACAAUUUGAUGCUUCCCUGGUCGAACCGGUCAAAAUUAUUAAGUUUGAAUUUAAUGGGUCGAUCCGGUUCAUUCCAACCGCAAACCGAAGGAGAAGAAUCCAGCUCACUCGAGGACAUAAUAUAAAUAUAAAAUAAUGAAUUUUCUACUUGUUACAUCACAUAAUAAUAUCCUCCCAUUUUCUUAAUCUAGGGUUUCUUUCGCGCAAACAGAUAUGGCAGACGAAGCACAGUACUCUUCAGGUCUCGAUGCCGGCAGCAACAAGCGUAAAUACGAUGACCAACCCCCUCUCCCCUCCGGCGCUAGGAGGCCUACUGGUUUCUCUUCCCCAGAUUCAGCUCCUCCUUCCUACAACAGCGUUCCGCCGCCGCUCGAUGGCAUCGAGAUGGCCAAGCAGCGAGCUCAGGAGAUUGCUGCUCGCCUGACUGCCUCCGUCGCCUCCGCUGGGGCCGAGCCCAAGCGCCCUCGUUUUGAAAACGGCUCCGGCGGUGGUUUUGAUCACGACAAGGGGUUUAGCUCCGCUCCUUCUGGUAUAGCUUUCCUUUUAUUUUUUGAUAGAGAAUUUUUUUUUCUUUAAUGAGAUUGUUGCUUCUAGGAUUUUGUGUUUAGAGUUUCGAGCUUUUAAUGAUGUAAAAUAGCUUUCGAGUUUUGGCUGCUUCUCCUGCAUGAUUUUUGAAAUUAAAAAGCAUUGAUGUUGUGCAAAUGUAAAGACCUUUACCAAAAUCUGCUCCUUCAGCUACCAUAGCGUGUUGAAGUUAAAAGCGUUGAUGUUGUGCAGAUGUAAAACCUCUUUCGAAUUCUGCUCCUUCAGCUAUACAGGUUUCGUAUGGAAGCUACCAUGGUAGUAGCAAAAAGAUUGAUAUUCCUCAAAACAGGGUCGGUGUUAUAAUCGGGAAAGCUGGAGAAACCAUUAAAUAUCUUCAACUACAAUCUGGGGCAAAGAUUCAGGUCCAAAGAGAUAUGGAUGCUGACCCUAAUUCUGUGACUAGGCCUGUAGAGCUUGUGGGUACUGCUGAACAAAUAUCUAAGGCAGAGCAGUUGAUAAAUGAUGUUCUUGCUGAGGUUAUUUAUCCUUUUUUUUUAAUUAUUGUUAUUUAUGUCAAAUUGAUGCAUUGCUGCUAUGCAGAAUAUGAGCAAUAUAAUUUAUACCUUUUAAUUUUUUAUCAAGGCUGAAACAGGGGGUUCUGGCAUAGUUUCCCGGCGAUUGACAGGACAGGCUGGAAGUGAACAUUUUGAAAUGAAGAUUCCGAAUAACAAGGUAUACUGGUGUAAAAGUAUUAUUCAACAUUUCAACUUCAAUGAAUUUGUUUAAGAUGGUACUAAUAAGUGCAUGAUCUCAGGUUGGUCUGGUGAUUGGUAAAGGUGGUGAAACAAUUAAAAACAUGCAAGCUAGAACUGGAGCUCGUAUUCAGGUUUGAAUCUUAGUUUCAUCUAUAUUUGGAAGUUAUUAUUAGGAAUUGGAUGCAUGGCCGUUCUAUAUCUGCUAACUUUUAACAGACUUUUAUGUAUUCUAAUCAGUUUGUUCCGUAUACAAUGCUCUUCUGGAUCUUGUUGUGAUUGCACCUAAACAUACCAUUUGUGAUGGAAAUACCUCUGUUAAUAUUAUGCAGGUGAUACCUUUGCACUUGCCCCCAGGUGAUACAUCAACAGAAAGGACUUUACAUAUAGAUGGGACAAGUGAACAGAUUAAACAUGCAAGAGAAUUGGUUGAUGAGGUCACAAGUGAGGUAUGUUUGGAAGUGGAUGUUAGGAGGAAAGUGUUUCCUCAAUGUAAAUUAUGUCUGCCACUUUUAUAUGAAUUGCCUGUGUUUGUUUUGUACGAUUAACAUGCAUGCCUACUGCAGUAGAUUCUUUUAGUUCUAUUAAUAAUUGUUCUAGUUUAAUUUGUUAUUUGAAUGUUGAUUAUUGUGAUCUUGUGACUAGUCUUGACAACAUUAGUAAUGAUAGAAUUUUUGAAAUUUCACUUUUAUUGAGGCUUCCAACAUUGGUUAAGAGAUUUCACUGUACAGGAUAUCGUAGAGUUGCUCCAUACAUUUUUAAUUGCAAGCAAAACCUUUUUUCUUUCCUAUAUAUAUUAUUGUAUUAUGACCUGUCAAUCAUUUUUCUGGUCAAUAUUCUGAAACUUUCCCCCUAUACUUUAACAAGUUCUUAGAUUUUCUUAUACAUUUAUAUACCUGUUGAGGGAGAAUAUUAUUUUGCACAAGCAGGUUAUAAUAUUUCUUCCGGGUAGUAUGCUGAAUAAUUCUUCUAUAGCUGCUUUUGCUAUCCCUUUGUAGUUAUUCAGUCGCUUUGAGAUAUGGACUGGAUUUUAUAUUAUCAUCUAUUUCUCUUCUUCUCUUUGUUCCACUUGUAAAAUCUCGAGAGUUGCAGACGUUUUUUUGGUGGUGACCCUUGUUGCUAUGGCAGCUGGUUGAGAAAUUUUUGUAGGUGUCAAAUGACCAAUGGAAGAUGAGCAGGUCCUCUACUUUGUAAGAGAUUCGUAGCUGUUUUGUAUCAAAAUCUUCUGGUUCUAGCUUAAUAUUAGGAACUGGAUAACGUGGUGGUUUCAUUGUUCACUGCUUGGUACCCUUGAAAUCAAAUCUUAUGGGUUUAGUUAUAAUUUUACAUGUUAAGUUCAAAUUGUCAAGCUCUUCACAUGCAGUUGCUUUCUUAUAUAUUAUUAAGGUAAAUGGUCUUUUACUAUUUGGAUGGAGGUCAAACUGAAUGGUUCGAAUUUGGUGAAGACUGAUGGUUAUUGUCCUUCAGUCUUCCUAAAGAUUUGUGCUAAGAUUUUGAUAAAAAUAUUGAAGUUUUAUCACCAUAAAGGGGAAUUCCUUGUUCAUGUUUUGAUAUCUUAACAUAACUUGACUGUGACCACCAGUUAGUCGCCUUAUCUAAAUGCAGAUAUUCGUUUUAUAAGUGUAAUACCUGUAAUGCUUUUUUCCCUUCUUUGGUUCAGAGAAUUCUAGGAUCUGUUCUAGGCGAUAAUCAUUUGCUUAAUGCAUGUUGGUUGAUCUAUCUAGGUCGUUGGCAUUCCUUAUCUGAUAUUCUGUUUUUUAAAAUGUAUCAAUUGGAUUAUUGGAUAGAUGAUAUAGAGUGAACUUUUAACUGUGAGAGUUUCUUGCCUGUAUAUGGCAAUUGGGUUCAUAGUUCCUUUUGCUAUGAUGUAAAAGCUUCUAUUAGUAUCUGUGGGGUUCUUUUUUUUUUUUCUUUUUGCACCCAUUCACUUCAAAUAGGGAAAUGAUGGGCUUCUGCUGGAGUAAACUCAAUAAUUCCUCCGACCAUACGGUAUGUAGGCAUUAUACUCUUCGUAGUUUAUGCUAUAGUACAAAUCCAUUAAAUCCACUGAACACAUUUUGUUUAUUUUUGCAGUUUUAUGCUGAGUUGAUAUUGUAUAUGCCUCUUGUAUAUAUAUGCAUAUUCUGUAAUGCUGUAUGUGUUUAUGUGCUAUCAUCAUCGGAAAGUACAUAUUGGUCAUUUGAGGAAUUGAUCUUGUGCAGAACCGUAUGAGAAAUCCAUCAAUGGCUGGAGGAUUUCCACAGCAAGGUUAUCAAGCAAGACCAGCCUCAAGCUGGGGCCAAGGGGCUCCUCCAAUGCAACAGCCUGGUUAUGGUUAUAUGCAGCCUGGGGCAUAUCCUGGCCCAUCAUCGCAGUACAACAUGUUGCAGCCUCCUUAUGGGGGCUACCCUUCCCAACCGUCAUCUGGUGGAUAUGCCUCUGGUUGGGACCAGUCAUCUGUACAACCAAACCAGCAAACCUCUGCUGCAAGUGGUUAUGAUUACUAUAACCAACAGCCUUCACAGCAGCAGCAGCAAACCUCUGGUGAUUCGGUAACUCCAGCUGAUAACAGUGGUUACAAUUACAGUCAACCUCCAGCUUCUAGCUAUAUGCAACCAGGACAAGGUUAUUCUCAGUAUGGCUAUGGUGGAUACCAUCAAUCUGGUUAUGGGCAGCCAUCAUCAUACGAUCAGCAACAAAGUUAUGGUUCUGCUUCGAGCUACGGUAAUGUGACAAAUCCAACUCAAGGUGGUCAAGGGGAUUCAGGUCAGGCACCUACGUCUACCCAACCGUCUGCAACAGGCCAACAAGGGUAUAAUACUAGUCAGCAGCCUAACCCAAACCCUGGAAGUUAUCCACCUCCAGGAAGUACUCAACCUGGUUAUGGAAUGCCGCCUUCCCAAACUGGCUAUGGGAAUCAGCCACCAGCACAGCCUGGUUAUGGAGCUGGAUAUGGACAACCACAAACGCAGAAACCUUUGGCCAAUCCCCAGAUGUAUGGGCAGGCUCAACAGUCGCCUAGCACCCCAGGAAGUUAUGGCCAGCCAGGAUAUCAUUCACAGCCGCCAUCUUCUGGUUAUGGUCAACCAGAGACAGGUUCACAACUUGCUCAACCACCAAGUUAUGGUGCGGCAUCUGCCCAGCCUGGAUAUGGAGCCCCAACCUAUGGAGCUGGUUAUGGAGCACCUUAUAACACCUCUUAUGGUGGUAGUUACUCACAGCCUCCAACAUAUCCAGCCGACAACAAUGCUGGUGGGAGCACUAAUGGAAAUUACGAUGCAGCACCAGCAUCUAAAACUGUUGACCAGGGUGGAGUUGCCAAGGCAUCCCCCAAAAGUUGAUUUGGCCGUAGUACGAUUUUAUAAUUUUGAAUUUGUGGUCUAGUUUUUGCAUUGUUUUUAGGACAAUGCUUAGAGUGUGUUGAGUGUUUUUACUUGAAUAUUUAAAUGUGCUUUUAAUGGUAUUGGAUUUGGUUUAUUUGUGCUUUUGGUAUAAAUGCAAGGUGGUUAUUAGUAGUGGUUUAUUUGAGAUGAUGCAUUUAUAUUAUGGUUGAAUCCAAAAUUCACCACUCUUAAGGCAAGCACAAUGGAUAUUGUAUGUAAAUGCAAUUGUUUGGGCAGAACAUCAACCAUAUAAAAUAAAUAGCAACAUCUCCAAUUAUAUGUUAAAUGCUUCUAUCAUUCUAUUUCUUCCUUGCUUGAACUCGUUAUAAGAUCCUCCAUUUUCUCCCAAUUUGAGGCUAUUUCUUUUUGGUAGCUGCUCAAUUUGAAAUCUAAGAAUAUUAGUUGCCAUGUGGUGAACUAUAGAUACCGUGAUUACAACAAAAGAGAAUUUAAAAUAUGCUUUAAAAUUGUACUAUUUAAAUUUGGAUUGAUUAACUUAUUUUUUGGGUACCUAAGUCUGUAUUUAAUAAAUACUUUUGCUUGGUUUUUAAAAAUAUUUUCUGUUUUUAUGUUUAGAAAACAAUUUUCAUUUUAUAAAAAAAAAAAGAAAAGAAAACAUGGUUGGUACCUAUUUGAAAGAUUGUUGAGAAAAAAAGAUAUUUUUGUGUUUAUAUUGAGUUUAUUCAAAGUCAUUAUUUUCGAUGUUAGUGAGAACAAUGAAAACAAUAUUUUAUUGAUUUAUAAUUUUCGUUGUUUUUGGAGAAACGAAAAUGAUUUUUAUUUCCUAAAACUAAACACGAGGCUUCUUGAGAAUUAAUAGACGUAUUAGAAAUAUGCUCCAGACUCUUUAGACGUCAAGUUUGAUUUGAUUAGGCUUCAUAUAACUCGAUUCAUGAAACAUGGUUUAAAAAUUUAAAGUAAAUAGUGGCAGAUUUAUCUUCUUCACGAGGAUAUAGUUUGGUUGUACACAGCUUUUAUCUUCAUACCAAAAGAUAAUGGCAGCCAUGGUUGAACCAAAUAUUUAGAGGAUCGCCAAGCAUAAUUCUUACUCUCUGUGGAUGCCACUAUUAUUUCACUCUUUCUAUGGUAUGUAUAUCAAACAAAUCUCCGUAAUUCAUUCUUAUCUAUACCCUCUUUCAAUUAAACCUUUUUUUAUGAUUUUUUUCAUCAAUGGAGAUGAUUCCUAAAUGCAAAUACCACCUUUGGUCUUAAUAGUAGCAAAACAAACGCCAAGAUCGAACAGAAGAACAGUUUAACAAGGUAUCUCACUGGCUCGUAGUUGGUUUCUUCAGCAGGUUCCCUUGAUGCUGACAGUGCUUUUGCGGAUGGUAGAGCUUCAACUACUGCAUCAGCUAGAUCCGUGAUGAAGGAAGAGGUGCAACCUAGGGCAGGAACACGACCCCAAUUCUCGAUUCCGGAUUCAAGAGCUAAGUGCUUAUAUUCCAUGUCAAUCUCUUCCAGGGUUUCUAUGUGUUCACUCACAAAGCUGGAAUUGAGAUGGAUCUAGAGUUAAUAUUUUUCCCUUACAUAAUCAUGCAUUUCAAAGCACACCUACCUCAGUAACAACUCAUGUACCUUAUCGGAACAGCUAGAAGACUCUUCACACCUUUCUGUCCAAGCUCAACAAGCACUUCGUCUGUGUAGGGCUUUAACCAUUGCACAGGCCCAACUCGACUCUGGUAUGGAAGCAUGAAGAAGAAGUUGAGCAUAACAGUUUUUAUUACUUUUUUCUUAUUUUAUGAGUGACAGCCGAAACUUUGUUCUAAAACCAACCUGGUAAGCAAGGGUAUGAUCAUUUCCAAUUCCUCUAGAUUUCAGCUCUUGCAUAAUUAAGUAGACGCACUCCUCCAUUUGAUCUUUGUAUGGAUCUCCAGCAUCCUCAACAUAACUAUCAGGCACCCCAUGGGCACUAAAGAAUAUCAUGACCUGAAGUUCAAAUGAAUACAUAUUAUCCUAAUCCUUGACUUUAGGCAUAAAAGAUUACAGACUAGACCAUACGGUAAGCAAACAAACCUCUUCAGGCUUUGCAAAUCUCUCCAGCUCUUCUUUAAUCAAGUCAGCCAUGGAACAAAUAUAACCUUGUCGUUGGUACCAAGAGAGGAUGACAGAAACAGGUAGUCUCGAUAAAUACACAUCUUCCCUGAAAUAUAACUUGCAUUACAGCCAUUCACAAAGGGGAACGCUGAUGGAUGAAGUCAAGCAGAAAAUUAUAACACAAAAUAUCAACAUCAACCUGAAAAUAUGCUGGAGAACUCGGAUGCUUGACCCAGUUGUGGAAAUGGAGAACUGAGGAUAUAAUGGCAGCACAACAAGCUUUUUUUAUCCUGUCUAGCUUAAUCUGUGUUGCACAUAAUAAAUGCUUAUCGGUAAUCAGUAUAUAACCCGAAUUGGACUUGAAGAUAGAUCAUUCAAUGCUACACGGAGAAUUCCAAAUUAAUAUACGAGGUAUAAAGUUCUUCAAAGGCAUAACCAAAUAAGAGUAUCCCUCAUGUAAGGAUUUAAUCAAUUUAACAACAACCUUAAAUAUCAACAAAAGCACAACAGAAAGAGCUCACUCUCCGUUUAUGGUAUCAUACAAGUUCAAAACACACGCAAAUUUGUUAGGCUAUCAAGAGACGAACCUGCUCAAUGGCCUCCUCUGUGAAUGGAUACCGAUAUCGCAUUCCAACAUAUACACUAACAUUCACAUUCUUUGCCUCCGAAGCCAUUCGAAGAGCAUUUGCCUGCAACGAGUUCUUUAAACUAUAAAUAUACUUGCCAGUUUCCCCAAAGCACAACAUGGUUCGUUUUGGAAAAAAAUAUCCAUAUAAAAGUACAAUAGUUCAUUUUCAAGCCAUUAGCUCAUGACAAAGUAACAAGAAAAUUUCUACAAUCAAGGGACUUGAUUUUACCUGUUCAUCGGUUAUUUUACGCAAAGGCGAGCUGCCACCAAUGGCAGCAUACCCUUCUUCACUUUUCGGAGUUCGAAGAACAGAUAUUAGCUUCGCCAAUGGCCGUUGAAGUAACUUAAACAGCCCAGGCAACCGUAUUAUAUCCUGCACAAAGAAACAUCAUCACCUCAACACCAUUGUAACUUGAAACCCACAAAUGUUCAUAUGAAAUACACACACAAAACAAAAAAAGAACAAGCAAAAUAACGUAAAGGAUCAGCAAACAAGUUAUAUAGAAAAGGUUGAACAUCUUUAAGUGUCUCUGGCCCUCCAAGGUUCAAAAGAAGAACCCCAAUUUUUUCCUCCAUGGCAUGUGAGUGAUGAGAUUCCACAUCAUCAUUUUCACCCAAGGUGUAAACCCCCACCCCGCAAAUUGCUUGCAAAUGCAGAUUUCUCCUCUGAAUUAGGCCAUCACUGAGAAAGGGUCCUUUGAUAAGGGCUUUAGAUGAAGGCUUAUUCACACCAUUGAAUCCAUUAGAUGAAUGUCGUGAGAAAGACGCAAUGCGUCUUUCCCGAGGAAUCGACCAGAAAAAAAAAACAAUAUAAAGAAAUGGACAAAUCCAAGAAUUUCAUCUUUGAUUCACAAAAAGAAGAGCUAAGAACAAUCUUAGGUUCUAUAAAGUUCAAAAAAAAAAAAAACCAUUCAGACAAAAACUAUAAAGCAUAAACCUCUGAUUAACAGUUCAAAGAAAAUAAAAGGAUUACCUUGAAAAUCUAUCAUCAGAAUAGCAUUGAUUGGAACUAGAGAGUUUGGUAUAUGAAAGAACACCAGGUAAAGAUGCUGCCUCCAUUAUUUUUAUCAAAAAUAAGAGUUGGAAUCUGGGUAUUAGGUGAAUUUGGGAGAGAUUUUCUAUGGGUCAGUUGAGAAAAAAUGGCGAAAAUUGUUUAUAAAGAAAACUGGAAAUAUAGAUUAAAAACUGUGUUGGUUCCCAAGAUUGAACAUAUUAUUAAUGCCAUUGGUUCAAACCCCCCCAAUAAAAGCCUUCCUUGAGAAUUAAGGCGGUGCCUUAUUCUUUUACAGUGUUUUACUAGCAAAGGGUAAACUACAUUGCAAGUCCCUCCAGUAUUAAUAAGUUUUGGUUUUAAUCAUCGAAAAGUUAUUAAACGACGAGUAACAUUAUCCGUUAACUUUUUUUUUGGUGAAAAAACAAACUAAACAAAUAACGUAAAGCAAAAAAUCAACUACCCUACCAUUCCUAAAUCGUCCUAAAAUACUUCAUAAUUAGAAUUGCUUUCUCUAGACGAAUACCACCUAUAUGUUAUGCUAUAUUGUUUCGCCCAACUCACUGAUAUCUUGAUAAUUUUCAAGAAAUUUCAAGAAAUGCCUUGGAAAACAAAAAAUAUUUCUAUUUUUUCAUAUUCGCCAUAUAAACAAACCAAAAAAAGUGGGCCAAGGAACCUCAUUUCUUAACGUCCAUCCUGGACUCCCCAAAUUUGUCAUAAUCCAAUCUAAGAGAUUCUCGAAAAAAAUUGUGUCAACAAUUUCCUGGCACAAAAUAAUUCCAAACAUCUUUAACAACUAGGUAAUCCCCAAGGACAUGCAAAAUAUCUUCCAUCUCAUGAUGACAGACUGGACAUGACAUAUUUUGUCUAAUGCCCCUUCGAAUUCUCUCCUGAUUGGCAAGCAAUCUUUGUUUGCAAACAAGCCAUAAGAAAAAACGAACACGAUGCAGUCCUUGAUACUUCCAAAUGAUCUUCCACCUAGCAUCUCAUGCAUUCCAUGUGUCUUCUUUAAUAAUUUGAUAUGCACUUCUUAUCGAAAAUCCUCCAUUAUUUGUAUGCGUCCAAAAGAUUUUAUCAAGACUUGCUAGGGGGUGUAGAGGAGGAAUGUUUGCAAUUUUUUUAAUAACUUCUUCUGGUAAACGUUCCCUAAAGGCCUGCAAAUUCCAUACUUCGUCUUUUGCAACCAUGUCUUUAAGAAAACAUUCUGUGACUGGUUGAUCCAUGGAAGAGACAAACAUUUUUAAUGACCCUACUUUUGGGAACCAAGAAUCCUCCCAACAGCGGAUCAAGGACUCUGUUCCAAUGGACCAGCAUAAAUUCUCUCUCAGUAGGGGCCAAACCUUUGCAAUCCCUUUCCAAACAACUAAACAACUUCCUCUUGCUAUGCUUUCAAGGAUACUUUCUCUCAUCCCAAAUUUUGAUCGCAGCACCCUAACCCAUAAAGCUUCCUCAUUGGUGAUGAGAUUAUACCAUAAUUUUAGCAAGAAGAAAGUAUUUUGAUCUUCUAAAUGUCUAAUACCUAAACCCCCACAAGCACGAGACUGGCACAUAGAGCCCUAAUCAACGUUUCCUUGUAUUAAACCCUUAUAUGAAUUGUCUUUUCAGGCACUAAAUCUCUUCACACACCCAUUUCGGGAUUCGCAUGGACUGCAUAAAGUAAUUUGGAAUAGCGAGGAGGAUAGAUUGGGCCAAAGUGAAUCUUCUGCCAUAGAGAGUUGUCUUGCAUCCCAAUUACAUAGUCUAGCUCUGACCUUCUCAAUCACAAACCCCAAGGUUUCAUUGGUGACUCUUUUAUGGAAUAGUGGAAUCCCUAAGUAUGUCCCCAACUCUUGGACCUUCUGAAAGCCUAGUAGCCUGCUUAACUGGUUACUAAGAUUUUCGUCAACUCCUUGAGAGAAAAACACAUUAGUUUUUUGUACAUUGGUUCAGUGUCCUAAGAAACUAUAGAAUCGAUCCAGAAUGCUUUUUAGUAAUAUGCCAUGCUUUGUGUCUGCUUUGGAAAAGAUUACUAAAUCAUUUGCAAAAAAUAAGUGGGAUAAAGUUGGCCUUGUUCGUGCAAGCUUAAUAGGACUCCAUUCGCUAGAAAUCUUAGUUGCUUUGAUACUGUGCCCUAACCAUUCCAUACAUAAAACAAAUAAGGAGACUGAAGGCAUCUUUAACGUACUCCUCUAGCAGGUUUGAAUUUUUUUGUAGGGACUCCAUUCCAUAAAACCUGCAUAGUGGAUUUUGAAAUGCCAAAGAUAAUCACCUUUUGUAAGGAUUCUGGUAUUCUUGCUGCCGGUAUAGAGCCAUCAAUAAAGUCCCACCGUACCCUAUCAUAUGCCCUUUCUAAGUCAAUUUCAACAACCAUCCACUUUUUACUCAUUCCUUGCACGGAGUGAAUAACCUCCUGAGCAAUUAGGAUAUUAUCAGAGAUACUCAGGCUAGCAAUAAACCCAACAUGUUCUUGUGAAAUAAUUUGGGGAAUACUACUUUGAAUCUAUUGGCUAUAACUUUCAUGGCCAAUUUAUAGACAACAGAGCAUAAACUAAUAGGUUGAAAUUGCGAAAUUUCUUUAGGCUGAGUAAUCUUUGGGAUGUGAACUAUAAGUGUAUUGUUUAAUUCUUGAUCAAUAGGCUUUCCUUUGAAUACUCCUUUGACCCACUUGUAAAUUGUCCCCCCAAUACUGUCCCACUGAUUCUGGAAAAAUAUCACAUGAUACCCAUCACUCCCGAGAGCUUUUAACGGAGCCAUAUCAAAGAGUUUCAUUUUAAUUUCUUCAUUCGUAACCUCUUUUCCUAGAAAAUUAAUGUCACUUUGUCCUAACUGAGGAAAGCAACUAGAAGGUAAACCCUCCAUCAUACUUGGCUUCUCCUCAUACAAUUGUUGAAAAUAAGCUAUUGCUUCUAAUUGAAUUUCAUCCGAUUCAUACAGCCAAUUACCAUUUCUAUUGCGCAGGGUGUUAAUGCGGUUGGCCUUUCUUCUAUGUAGUGUUCGACUGUGGAAAAAUUUUGUGUUCCUGUCUCCUAGUUUGAGCUAGUCAUACCUUUACUUUUUUUUUCCAUAACAACUCUUCAUGAUUAAGCACCUCUUCAAGCUCCUCUCUUAUAUCCAUCUCCCUUUUAGCUAUCAUGUCUGAAUUUGGCCUUUCUAUUUCUCUUUGGAUCUGGUUCAAGGACUAUAGUAAUUCCCGUUUAUGCACCCCAAUAUGUCCAUAAACCUUCUUAUUCCAUUUUUGAGACCCAUCGUGAGUUUUCCCAAAAUGUCCGGUAUAUUCCCACUGAAUCUCCACAACUCCUGUACGAUGCCUGAUAAAUUUUGAUGUUGGGUCCAUUCAACCAGGAAAUGAAAAGGGCACCUUUUAGGUAAGUUAAGAUCUGGGUUAAUGUUGAUGAGAAGAGGUCGAUGAUUGGAUUUAAUUCGUAUGAGAUGCGUCACAAGGAACUUUGAAAAAGUUUGAAUCCAAGCAUCAUUUCCCAAUGCUUGAUUAAGUCUCUCAAAGAUCCCUCCUAUUUGCCAAGUAAACGGUGGCCCUCUAAACCUUAGAUCUUGUAGAUCAUUUGACUCAACAAAUUCUCUGAAUUGGGGACAUCAUUUUCCAACGUAUUACCCCAUUUUUUAUCACUCUCAGAAAGGAUAGCAUUAAAAUCCCCUACCGCCAUCUAAGGAACAAAAUUAGUAGGAAUGGUGUCUUUUAAUGCUUCCCAAAACACUUUCCUUCUAGUUCUAUUUGGGUCACCAUAUACGAAAGUGAUAAAAAUAGUCUAAGAGGGGAAUCCGAAGGAAACUUGUAUCAAAAUAAACUGAGGGUGAUUUUGAACAAAUUUGAGGCGAACCGAAUCCUUCCAUCCUAUCUAGAUUCCACCAGAAAAUCCCUUUGCUUCAACCCGAUGCGAAUAUUAGAAUCCUAACUUUGCAAUUAUCCCAUCUAUUUUUCCACCACUGACUUUCGGCUCUAGAAGGUUAACAACAUCAGGCUUAUGUUCCAUAUUAUACUCUCUAAAGAUGCGAGGAAACUUUACGUUUGCACACCCCUGAUAGUUCCAAGUAAACACGAAAAAUUUAGAGUUCAUUAAAAAAUAAAUAAAAAACAAAUUGCAAGGCACUUCCUCUUUUACUAACGAACACCAUCCUAGCCUUUUGUAUUCUUGUAUACUUCCUUAGAAGCCUUCAUCACCAGCCCUUGUUGAAAUUGGCUCUGUAAUAAUUCCACAAUGUUGAUUACUGAUUCGGUCAAAUGAACUUUUUGGGAGGAGGCCUUGAAAGGAUUGCCCUCCUCCCUUGUAGUUUUAUUCAAUUUUUGAUUUUUCUUAUUCCCAAUCUGUUUCCCCUCACCGACCUUGAUUAGCGCUAAACUUCAUGACCUUGGGUUUGUUUGCCGGAAUCGUUAACUGCCUUUAACCUUUAACAGAAUGAUGAUAUCACAUGUUUUAUAUAGGUUUAAUAUCUAAGUUAGCCUUUAAACUAUAAUUAAAAUAUUAGUUUAGUCCUUUUAAAAUUUUUUAAUAAUUAUUUUCAAAAAUAAAUACAAAAAUUCUAAAAAUAUUAGAUUUAAAAAAAUAUUAAAAUUCAUAAAUAAAUUUUUUAAUUAUAAAAAAAUUACAAUUAUAUUUAUGAGGAAAUUUUUAAAUUUUUUUUAAAAAAAAAUCAUAGAAUUGUAAAAAAAGUUCUAAAAAUGUCGAAAAUUUUCAAAAGAAUUGAAAAUUGAGUUUUUUGUUAAAACCAUUCCUUCCAUCUUAUUAACCACUCGUUGGUUUUGGAGUCUCGUUACUAGCAACAUUGACAAGGCGGAGAACAGCCUACCAUCAUCUUCGGCUGCUUAUCAUGUCAACUUUGGUGGGUAUAUGCGAGGGACCGUCUUUUGGGAACCUGAUACCCCCUCACCAUUGAAGAAUUUCAUAUGCCUCGUCUCAAAGCUGGAUAAGCUCUUAUUAAAACCAAUGGUUUUUUUCUUUUUGGAAUCAUAAGAAAGGAGACACCAAGAUUUGAAAUGGGUCAACUCCAUUGGUUCAGGCUAUGGAGUAUGCCAGUCUAAUCUUCAUGUUAUAAAAGGUGAAAUUCCAUUUUCUAUUCCUUAUGUUCUCGGGCACGAGUAACUGGGGAAGUAGUUGAACAUGAGCUAAUCACUAACUGCAACUGAAACAAAGAUUUUUCCAUAUUCCAUUUGACAAAUUACUUGAAGGAAGCCAAUUUCAUCUGAUGCGUGAUUUAGGGGAAGGAAAUUGAAGAAUUAGGAUGAAGAGGGGUGAAAAAUUUUUUUUCACCGUCUUUUUUAACAAUUUUAUUUAUUUAUUUACUUCUUUUUAAAAUAAAUAUUAAGGGAAAUAAAAUUUUAAAUGAGGUAGCGUUAUUCUAGUGGCUGCAACUUUUUUUAAAUUACACCUUAAAAUUGGUUCCUUCAACUAAAACUGUAACAGCCCGAUUUUUGGGUCUAGUCAGAACAGUGGUUUUGGGACCAUAAAUUCGACGAGGAAAAUUUUAUUUUUAUGGUCUACAUUUCACGGAAUGAUUUCGUGAAAAUUUCAUUCGAAAAUUUCGACGUUUGAGCACUCAAUUUAUUUAAAAAGUCUAAAUUGAUAUGUGAUCCCGAAAAUUAUUACAGUAAGAGAGUAGGUAUUCUUGAUAUAGUAAAACAAGGAAAUUUCGAGGACGAAAUUUAUUUUAAGGGGGAGAGAAAUGUAAUACCCCGAAAAUUUUUACAGUAAGAUAUUAUCUUUGAUAUAGUAAGGAAAUAAAGUGACAAAAAGGAGAAUUUUGAGUUAUGACAACGUUAGGAAGUAUAUUAUGACAUAUUAAUUGAAGAAAGGAUUAAAUUGUAAAAGUGAGAAAUGAUUAAAUUGCAAAAGUGAGAAAAAUUUUGUUAUCCAAGAGUAAAUACUCAAAAUUUGAGGGGUUAAAGUGUAAAUAUGAAAAAGUUAAAGGACCAAUAGUGUAAAUAUUUUAAGGGUGGAAUAAUCUAGAAACUAAGGAAAAGGGAUGAAUUGGGACCAAAUUGAAUAGAUGAAGAAUUACGAGUGACUAAAUCGUAAUUUUACCAAAUUAAGUGAUGACUCAAGGAUGGAAUUUUAAAAGAUCUAAAUGGCAAAAUGGUCAAUUAGAAGAAAGAGAAAUCUAAAAAAUAAUGAUGAUGUUGGAAAUAUUUUAGAUUAAAUAAAUAUUAGUUUAUUAAUAUUUUAAUUUAAUUUUUAAAUGACAUUUUAUCAUUUUAUUAUUAUUUUAUUUAGUAUAUAUAUAUAUAUAUAUAUAUGGAAGAAAAGAUGAAGAAUCAUCAUCUUCUCCCAUGCAUUCCAACGUAUGAAGAGAAAAGAAAGAAAGAAACUUUCUUUUCUUUACAAUUUGGUCAUCUCACUAAAAAUUCACCAUUUUCACUUAGAAAUCAAAGAAAUUGCCGUAGCCGCCAAGAAAGAAAAUUGAUAAGGAGACCAUGGAGAGCUAGGAUAUCAAGUUAGAUUCAAGAAAUAGAGGCUGGAGGAGAGAGAAAAUCAAGUUAAAGAUUGAAAUCAAUAGGGCAAGGUAAGAACAUCAAGAUUUCAAUAUAUUUUUGAGUUUGAUAUUAUUGAAAAAGUAUGAAAUUGAUGUUAAUGUAGGGUUUUAUUAUAUAAGGUUCUAUGUUCUUGAUAUGUUAGUGAAGGGAAACAAGAGGAAUUGAUAGAAAAUAUUGUAGAGAAAGGAAAGGAGGGUGUUAUAAAUUUGAUUAUCAACAUCUUGCACUAAAACAGUUUUGAACAGUAGCGGUAGGUUAACUUUGAAAAAUCACCAUAAAUCAUGGAAAUUUAAUUAGAGGAUGAAAAAAUAUGGAAUUAAAUAUUAUUGAGUCUAGUUUCCCAUAGAAGAAACGAUGUAAGAAAUGAAAUUGUAAAUCAUGAGUUAUAAUAAAUUUUGUGAGAUAAGGUUAGAAUGAUUUCGGGUUCCCCUGUUCUGACUUUGGAAAAUCAUAAAAAAUUGGAUAAAAAUGAUUAUGGGCUUAAAUUUAUAUUUUUAAAAUAAUGAAUGAGUAUAUUUUCAAUAGAAACAAAUGGGAACAUUAUCCAAAUUCUUUACAAAGAGAUAAUUAAUUUUUAGUGAAGAGGGGUCAGAACUGUCAAAUAGUGAAAUAGGGGAAACUUUAAAGAAUAAAAUGUACUUAUUGGCUAAAUAAAAAAUUCUGAAAAUUUUAUGGUAAAAAUAUAUGUGAGUAUAUUUUCAUAUAAAAUUUGUGGAUCUCAAUUCGGAGUUUUUUAUAUUAAUACAUAAUUAAUUUAGUGAAUAUGACUCAAGUGAAUAGCUUGUUAUGAGUAAACAUGUAAAUAGUGGUAUUAUGUAUAUAUCAAGGGUGUGGAAUGGAGUGGAGGAGGAGGAGGAAAAACAUAUGUGAAAAUUCAGCUAAUAUGAGUUUAUUUUAAAAUAGUUAAUGUACAUGUUUUAGGUUCAGGGACUAAAUUGAAUAAAAAUAAAAUUUUAAGGGUAAUUUUGUAAAAAUGUAAAAAAGACCAAAUUGCAUGAAAUGAAUUGUUUUAUUAUUUAAAUUAAUAAAUUGAAUGGAAUAUUAAUUUAGAUCAAGAUUGGGUGGAAUUUCGAGGAAAAUGAAAAAUUACCAAAAUGUCCCUGAAUUUUGGUAUUUCUGCAAUUUAGCCUGGUAAGUUCGUGUAACUUGAAUUAUAUUCUUAAAUGCUUGAAAUGUUUGUUAUUGAUGUGAAUAUUAUUUGAAUGUUAAUUGUAUGAAAAUUGAUGAAACAUUGAUAUAUUUGAUAAAAAGGGGAAGAAAUCCCGGUUGAAUGGAAGGAAAAUUCGAUGGAUCUCUGAAAAGGAAUUGACGGUAAAAAGGAUCUAGCCCGGACGGGUGAUCCUAAUCUGACAUAGCCCUCCCAAAGAAUAUGUGGAAAAUGGAUUUAUCCCGGACGGGUAAUCCAAAUUAGGGUCUGAAUUUAGCCUGGACUGGUAAUUCAGAUCCAAGCUCAUUAGAGCAAUUGUCAUUGCAGGGGAUUUAGCCUGGACUGGUAAUCCCGCUGUAAGGAUGAGGUUCGCGGGAGUGUGCUCUCUGAAAUGGAAAUGUGCGCACAUGAAUAUGAAUUGACGGACCCGGAUUUGUACACUAAAGUGUACCCCUGAAAAUCCAUCGAAAUUUUGAGAAAUUCAACGGGAUAAAUAUGGAAAAAUAACAAGGAAAUGGAAAUCAUGGUAUUGAUGAGCUCAUCAAUCAUGGUAUAUAUAUUAUUGAUACAUGGAAAUUAUUAAACUAACUUGAAUGUUGAGCUUGUGCAUGUUAGGGGAAUAAUGUAUUGAAUGGCAUGUAUACGUUAAAUUGGCCAACGUUACCUUAUUAAUGUUUAGAUUUUGUUUGGUUUUAAAUAUGAAUGCUUGAUGAAUUGAAAUGUCUUUAAAUUAAUUUGUAAACUCUGGUAAUGCUCUAUAACCCUAUUCUGACAAUAGAUAUGAGUUAGGGGUGUUACAAAAACAAAUAAUAUAAAAGGGAUUGAAAGAUUGUGGUAUAUGCACGGAUGGGGGGAAAUUUAUUAAAUUUCAUUCACCAAAGCUGUCAAUUUUUAAGUUUGAAAAAUCAAUUGACUGGCGACUACUUUUUGGAUAAGAUCCAGACGUUUCUAGGUUAAGAUGUCUUCAAGCGUUCGAAGAUCUAUCUCUUAGCUUCGAAAUUCAUUUUGAAUUAAUCGAUUUCGAGAGCUCAAGUUAUGAUCGUUUUAGUGAAGAUUGCGCGAGCAAAAUUUCUGGACGGGAUUAUUACAGAAAUUAUGAGUUUUGAACUUUUAAUUCGAGUUUAAAUCAUAUUGGAUCUGAUUUUUUGGCUUAAUUUUUUAUUAUAUAUGAGUCCGAUAUUGUUUAUUAUUUCAUUAUUUAUUCUUUUUUUAUUCUAUUCUUUUCAUGUGUAAUUGUUUCUAAUCUUUGAUUUGGAUUCCUUGUUAUUUUUCUAUCUUAAUUAUUUGUUUUAAUUGCUACCCUUUUAAUUCUUAGAUUUGACUUAGAUUUGUUUGCAUUUCAAGAUCGCAAGUUUUCCCAAGUUACGGAUUUGAUUUAGGGCUCUAGACAACCUCAAAGAAACUUGGAUUUUGACACAACUUGAAACGCAAACAAAUCCAAGUCAGAUCUAAGAAUUAAAAGGGCAACAAUUAAAACAAAAAAUUAAUAUAGAAAAUGAACAAGAAAUCUAAAUCAAAGAUUAGAAACAAUUAAACUCAAACAAAACAAAAUAACAAAAGAAACGAAAUAAGAUAGAUGGAAAAGAUGGAAAGUGGCGGCGUGUAGAAGUCCUAAGGAGCCCUAGAAACCAGAUAAACCCACAACUGCCUUCAGACGACUUUAAUUUCCCCUCCAAGAAAGAAAACUUGGAAAGAAAAAGCUUAAAUAUUGUAACACCCCUAACCCAUCUUCGUCGCCGAAUUAGGGUUACGGAGCAUUGCCUAUCAAACCAUAACCAAUAAUGACAUUUAGAAACAAUUAAUAAAUUUAAAUAAUAACAUUCAAACUAAUACUUAUUCAUGGCAUAAACAUGGUUAUGGACCUUAACUCGAGCUUAUAAGGUCAUAAAAAUAAGUUAGGAACAUCCAGGGACCAAUUUGAAACAAAUCAGGAAAUUUUGGAAUAAUUUAAAAACAAGGGUCACACGACCGUGUGGUUAGGCCGUGUGACAUAGCUCAAGCCAUGUGAGUGUUCAAAGUAUAGGACACACGGCUGUGUCCUAGCCCGUGUGGGUAUUCGAAAUAGGGCCAUACGGUUGUGUCGUAGGCCAUGUGAAACUUGCACCUAAAAUAAUAUUGACACACAGUCGUGAGGGGUGACAGUGUGUGGCACACGGCCGUGUGACAACCCAUAUCCUAGGCCAUGUGCUUCAUAAGUUACCCCUAAAACAAGUCAAAUCAACUUGCACACCAAGACACACCAUUUCCUUAUGCAUUCAUAUGACCAAAAUACAUUCAAACACAUUCCAAAACAUACCAAAUCCACCAUCCUAUAAGACCUAAUCAAUAUGCCAACAAAGGCAUCACAGUUCACAUAUCAAUUUUAAUCCAAUUCAACAUCUCAAGAUCAUUCAUUCUACAUAAAUCAAACAUACCAAAACCAUUUCACACAUAUAUAUCAUUCAACAAUGAUUUACCUAUCAAGACAUGGAAAUGCAUAAGUGUUCAACAACACACCUAUUUCCACCAUUAUUUAAAAACCAUCAAUUAAAAACAUUAAGGCAUACACAAGCUUGGAACCACUCAAGCAUACCAAAUUUCCAAGUUAACAAUCAAGCCCUAUUAUAACAUUAAACCAAAAGAACCAAAAUCUACCAAAAUGAUGAUUGGAUAGUGUGAUUGUGAUCCGAUGCAAUUCCAACUGAUCGAGCUUCUGAUGAUCUACAAAACAAUGAAAAACAACUAUAUAAGCAACUAGUGCUUAGUAAGCUCAUAUAAAGGAAACUCAAACUUAUCUAACAUAAAACGAUUAAACCAUUCAAACCUUGCUGAAUAGAUCAUAUGGAUAUUUUUAUUUCCUAUUCAAAACACUUCAUUUAGUUAGUAGAUGCAUUUAAGAACAUAUCAACUAAUGAAACAUGACACAAAUCAUGAAAAGGAUUUCAAUAUAUAAAUCCAUUCAUCACAUAAUCCAUUUUUUUUACCUUUUCAAUCCAAUUACACAUAUUAAAUUUUCCAUUCCAUAUUCUCAAUAACAUAGCUCAAUUCAUAUAUGUACCUUUUCAUUUUAAAUAUUAAUUACCCGUUGAACCAAAUAGAAUAACAUCGGAUACUCAGGAAAUACUCACACAGAGUGUGCCUUUACAUGUAACUGUAAUCGUAUCUAUAAUGCUCACACGAGCUCUGAAAUGGGUCUGCUCACACGAGCUGUGGGUCUAGAUGUUAGCUACACGAUGCUGCUCAUACGAGCUGUGGAGAAUUCGCAACAAAUGCAGGACCUCAGCCAUUGGUAGGACAUCCAUGACCAACACUCAAAACUGUAUAAUCCCUAAUGACAUGUCAUUUGUAUACUAAAUAUUCAUAAGGUUCAAACAAGAUGUUUUCUAUAUCCAACAUUUAAUUCCUUUCCAUUAUAUCAUUUUUAAUACAUACAUCCAUAAAAUUUCACAUUCUUCAUAAAUAUGCAUAAAUUGAAUAAACAUUACAAUUUACUCCAAAUUACUAGUUAACGAUUUAUAUUAAAUAAAAGUUAAACAAAGCAUAACCUUAAUUAAUCAUUCAUCUAAAAUAGAAAUUAACCAUUUUACCAUUAUACGAACUUACCUCGAUAAAAACAAUUGUAAAAACGAAGCCGACGACUAAUCCAACACUUUAGCUUUUCCUUGGUUUAGAUCUGUUUGAUUCGUUUCUUGAUCUAAAUAAUAAUUUUCAUUCAAUUAAACCGUUCAAAUAACUUAAUAUAAUUAAUUCAACUCAUAACCCUUAUCAAUGGAAAAUUUACAAAAUUACCCUCAAUGUGCAAUUUAGUCAUUAAACCGAAAACUUGUAAUUUAACCACUUUUAAUUAAAAUUCAUGCUAGCCAAUUUUCCCUUAGUCUUAUAACAACCCAUAUGUUUCUUUAUUUCACACAAUUUACAUUGAAUUUUAUUAUUUCAACAAUUUAAUCUCUAAACAUUAAAAUCAUCAAAAAUCAAUUAACAAAAUACUUAAAUUUAACAACCAAGCUUAAUAAUCUAUCAAUUAAAUUCACAAACACACUUAAAUCAUUCAUGGUAAGUCCCUAUACUUUGAACAGUUUUACAAAUUGACCCCUUGGUUAGCUAGAUUAAGCUAAAAUGAUUUCAAAAACAUAAAAAUCAUAAUAAAAAGGGAUCAAAAUCACUUACCAUGCAUGGGAAUUGGCUUGGUCGAACCUUGAGGACUUGAAGCUUUUAUUUCUCUUAAAAAUGGUGGAAAGUUCGGGGGAAUUAAAUUUCGACUUGUCCCCAUACAUUUUUUUUCUUUUGUUUUAUUAUAUUUUACUUAACAUUUUAACAUUAAAAAUAUUAUAAUUUAACUUAAAAGUCAUACCAAACCAUGCACUCACAUUAACUAUGACAUAUUUUCCAUUUAAAACCCCUCAACUAGUCCAUGAACACAUUUAGUUCAUAAAAACUCAUAGUGAUUAACUUUUGCAAUUUUUAUGAUUUCAUCCUUUUCAAUUAAUUAACUAUCUAAACAGUAAAUUUCGGGCCAAAAUUCAAUAUACUUAUAUAAUCAUUCUAUUAAAUAUUUACGAGCCUGGUUUAUAGAAACGAGGUCCCGAAACCUCAUUUUCUAAAACCAAUUGACUUAAUGAAUUAACCACUUGAACCUAAAUACUUUUUUUAAUUAACAAAAUUUAUUGAAUCUGUAACACCCCCUAACCCCAUACCGUCGUCAGAAUAGGGUUAUGGAGUAUUACCGAACCUAUCAGACAAUUUACAAUUAAUAUACAAAUAAUUAUCAAACAUAAUAUAAAAUAAUCUUAAGGUCCCUUAAAUUGACCCUCGAAGCCCAAAAUACAAGUUAGGAGUGAUUCGGGUGCUUGGGGAUAUAUAUAUUUUUUGUGCGAGCUCAAUAUAACCACUUUAUAAAUGUCUAACCUUCCCUACAAUUUCAAACUGCAACCAAUUCAAAACCAAUAUCACAAUUUAUACAAUUUCGUGUUCAAAUAACCUAAACAUAUCUUUUUAUAACUUAACAUUUCAUUUAUCAUUCAAACAUUAGAGACCAAUUCUUUACAACCAAAACUUUCAAGACUCUUUAAUAAGACCGAAGUACAUGCCACAUUUACCAAAGGAAAAAUACAUCACCGAAGGUAUGCUGAAGUCGGGAUUGAUCUAGACGUUGAACCUGGACCUUUGACUUCUAUCGACCUGCGCACGGAAACAACCGUACGUUGAGUAUUCCAUACUCAGCGGUAUUACCAUAAUUCAAAUUAUAACAAUAAUAUCAUAUACCCACAAUUUGGAACUUGGACACAUCAUGAACCUUAGGUUCAUUUCUCAAUCCCAUAUCACAUUUCAAUUCACAAUUCAACUUUUUCAUCUCAUUUCAGUAGCUCGAUUGAUCAACUCAUUCGGUUUAUCAUUUCAUUAUUUACCACUAUUAACAAAACUCAGACCUUGACGGAUACACAGAUCCAGCCAAACACUCCAGUAUGGCACCCAGUGCCUCAUUGGAUAGUUCGAAGAGUUAGUUGACAUCCAGUUUCUCAUCGGCAAAGCCGAAGAAAGUUGGUACCUAGUACCUCAUCGAAUCUAUCCAAAGAAAUAUAGUGACACCUAGUGUCUCAUCGACUCGAGGUCGAAGUAUCCCUAAACUCUUCCAACCCUAUAACAUGCCAACUAUAUCCAACUCAGCUCGACUAGUUAAUAGGGUCUCCAAAUUCACAUUUCAAUUCAAUUCCACUUUUUCAUUUUCAAUCACAAUUCAAUUCAAAAUUCACCUUUCCAUUUUUUUCCAAGUCAAUAUUCAAUUUCACAUUCAAAUCAAUAUACAAUUCAAUUAUACAUACACAUUCACCAUCCAAUCCAAUUCCCAUUCAACUCAAAUAUUAAUACUUACCUUAUACUCAUUUAUUAAAUAUAAAAUUUAUAUAAAACAUUUAAUAAAAAUUAAUUUGAAUUAUAGUAAUACAAACCGUAAAUCUCCCGUUUUAGUCAUCGAUAGCUUUCUCCUUUCCUUUCGAUUUCGAUGCCGAUGCCUCGGGUUCUUUGUUAGCUACGAAAACAAUAAUAAUUUUCACUAUUAAUUACAGCAUUAAAUUAUAAAAAAAUAGUUAAAUUUUAUUCAAUUCCUGCUUAUUCCCAAUUUAAUCCUAACUAAGUUUACUUACUUUUCUAACAUAAUUCAUACUUCUUUUCUACCUAAUUUCUUGCCAUAUUUAAGUCAACUAUUCAAUAUUCAUAAUAAAACCCUAAUUUUAAAAUUCUUUCAAUUUAAUCCCUACUAUGUAAAACUUAUAACCUAGUUUAAAAUUUAAUCCUUUUAUCAAUUCUAACUAGAAAUUCUAUCAACGAAACCCCUAAUUCAACAAUUUGUUCAACAUGAAUCAUGUUAAAAAAAUCUAAGAACUUUCAAAUUUUAACUUAAAUUCAACAAAACUUUGUUCCAAGGCUUCAAAAAAAAUCAAAAUUAAAAGAAAAAGGACUUAAUUGACUUAACAAAUCAAAUCUUAAAGCCUCAAACCCUAGUUUUUCCUUUUUCUUCUUUCCCUGUUCUGUUUCGAAAUGGCUAUUCUGUUUCUUUCCUUCUAUUUGUUUUCUUUUUACUCUUUUAGUUUCUUUAUUCUUUUAUGUUUAUUUACUUUAUUAUUUUAAUGAUAAUUAUAAUAACAAUAAAUUUUUUAUAAUAAAUAUCUAUUUAAUAAAAAAGAUUUAUAUUACAUUUGUAUACUCAUAUAUUUUACACUUGUCUAUUAUCAUGACCAUCCAUUUGUCUUUCUUUUAUUUAUUUAUCAUACAAAAAUCUUAUAAUAUAAUUAUUUAAUUAAUAAAUAUCUUUUAAUUAAAUUUUAAGUAAAUAAUAAUUAUAAUACAAGUGUAUAUAUAUAUUAUUGCACUUGUAUAAUCUUAUCACCAUACACUUGUCUUAGUUUUAAUUUAUUCCAUAAUAUAAUAAUAUAAUUAAUAUAAAUUACAAUUUGAAUAAAUAAUAAUAUAUUUUAUAAUUAAUUAACAUAAAAAUCUAAGAUUUUUAUACACAUUUGCCACCUCAUUUAAUGGAAUAGGCUUAAUUGCCUAUUUAUUCCCUAUUAUUUUCUUUUAAUCUAUAAUUAAACUUUUAGCCUUUAUUCAAUUUAAUCCUUUUUCCUAAUUACCCUUAAUUAAGCUAAAUUCACUUAAUUAAAACCUAAUUAAGCUCACUACUAGACUCAUAAAUAUUUCUAAUAAUUAUCUACAGGUUAAAUUUUGUAAGACGGAUGCCUGAUACUACACUUUUCCGAUGCUAGUGAAUUUUUGGUCAUUACAUAAUUAAAAUUUCAAUAAUAUUCUACUUGACUCAUAAAUAUUAAUUAAUAAUAUUUUUGAACUCACUAGUCGGAUUUGUGGUUCCGAAACCACUAUUUUCCACACCACUGAAAAGCGGGCUAUUACAAGGAUGAUCCCCAUAAUCUGAAAAGAUUGUUAAAACUCUUCUAAAAGAAAACUCAAGAGACAUUCUUGAAGAGAAAAACUCAAAGAGAAUUAUUAACUCAAAAGAGAAAAGUUGUUGAAUGAAUUGAUGAAUUGUGUACAAUGAAGAAACCUUUAUAUAGGUUAGCUAAGUAAGUUUAGAAAUUUCAAGUAUAUUGAAACUCUAAUUAACCUAAAUAAGUAGUUUAAACUAAACUUUCUUGUUCACAUAAAACUCUUAGUAAUUUAAAAUACUUAGGAAAUAUAUCCAAAAUUCGGGAUAAAUAAAUAAUGAAAUAAUAAGACCUAAUAAAUACAGUAUUGAGCUCAUAUAUAAUAAAAAUUGAGCCUACAAAUCGGACCUAAUAUGAUUUAAACUUGAAUUAAAAGCCUGAAAGUCGUAUUUUUCAUAAUCAUCCCGUUUAGAAAUUUUGCUCGUGCAGUCUCACUAAAGCGGCCAUAACUUAAGCUCUCGAACUCGAAAUCGAGUGAUUCAAAGUGCGUUUCGAAGCUAAGUGUAACACCCCUUACCUGACCCGAACAUCAGGUAAAGGUACUAGGUCACAUUCAUUGCUGGAGCAAAUUCAAUCUUACCCUACCAAAUAAACAUUCAUAAUGCGUCAAGAAUAUGAUUAUCUAACUUAACUGAGCUUAAAAUGAGCUUUAGAAAAAUUUUGGACAAAACAAAACUCAAUUCGGGACAAAAGGAUGAAAACUCAAGCACUCAAGAGAUCAUCACGGCGUCAAUUUUUCCUUGUCACGACAUCAGUCUCUUGUCAUGAUGUCAAGGAGAUCCCUCGUCACGACGUGAGUCACUAGCUUGAUCUCGUCAUGACUACAACAUCCUAUCGUUGCAGCAUCGAUUGCUCAUCGCGACGUCAAAAACCUCUCGUCAUGACGUCGAUUCUGCAACCUUCAAACUUGCACACUUUCACUUUCAAAUUGCCACUAACCACUUCCGAAUGCCUUAACCCUUCCAAUUACAAGAUAAUACACUGCAAAUACACUUUUAUCAAACUUUAACCUUACCCAAAUCAUCAUGAACAACUUAAAAUAUAUAAAAAAUGAAAAGUUUACAAAUUAAGCCAUAACAUUUAUGUUUUUCAUAACUUGUAUCCUAAAAUACAUCUAAAAACAUCCAAUUGUACAUGUGGAACGACGGAAAUGUGCAAGUGUACACAAUCGCAACAAGUAAUAAAGUGACAAGUAAAUGUCGAGUUAUCGUACCCACAGGGACUAUGAAAAGAAUUAUUUAUGGAUGCUAUUUAAAACACUUUGGUGAAGAAAAGUAUUUUGUUUGAAGAGGGUGAUUAAAAACUAAGAUUUUAAACUAAGUGAACUAAAUAAAUCUCAAAUGGACGAUUUCAAAAUACAAUUUUAAUCAAGAUGACAUAAUUGUGUUAGAUUAAUUACAUUUCUUAACUUAGAAUUAUUAAACUCAUGUUUAUAUUGUUACGAAUAAGUUCACGACAACUCGGUAAUUUGCUAACUUAUGAACAUACUCACCUACUAAAAUCCAUUUAUCUCUUGACUAUAUCCCUAUGUCAAUUCAACCGAUUAAACAAAUCUUAAUAGGCAAAUAUGUUAUUGCACAUACAUACUUAUUAAAUCGAAAUAAUCUUUGUACAUAUCCCUAUGUCAAUUCAAACAAUUAACUUAAUUUAAUCACAUAAAAUACUAUGUGAGGUAACAAAGUAUCCUUAUCUUGAAACAGUUUAAUCACAAAAAUCUUGCAAGUUAUGCAAGGAAAAUGUAUCGUCAGAUACCGUUGCUAAUCUAACCCUAAGCUACCUUAGAUGAUUAAACAUGCACUGAUUAAGUACUGUGUCCAUUAAUUACAAUUUCAAUCCGUUUAAAUAAUUAAUUCAUUAGUUACCUAACAAUUGUAAUGCAAGAAGAAUUUAGUCAUGAUUUUACUUAAUCAAGCAUCUUACCGAGGCCUAUAACAACAUAACACAAUUUUAAUAAUUUUAACAAACGAAAUGCAAUCAGCCUAACACGAAUUAAAUUCAAGCUAAAUUGAUUAAAUUAACCUUUCCAACAACAUAAAUAUUCAUAGAUAUGUUCAGCAUAACAACAACAAAAAUUAAAAAGAUAGGGAAAAAGAAUCAAAUCCGGUGUUUUUCCGUGGCUUGACUAGUUGCUCAGUUCUUCCUUCUCCGUUGUCCUUGUCGACCAAGGCUGCUAUGAACACUUAAUUGAUGCUCCAAAUAGCAGAUGAAUGCCCCUUUGCAAGAGGAUAAAUCAGCAAGAGAGCAAGGGAAUUUUGGAAUGGAAAAGAAGAGAGAAAGUGGAGAGAAAAGAGGAAAGAUGUGAAUGCUUGAGGUGUGUUUCUAAAAUGACCAGCCUAAGGGGGUUUUUAUAGCUGAGGAGGGUAGCUAAAAAUAGCUAAAAUUAUCAGCCAAAGAUCUCUCCCUUGGCCGGCCACACAUAUGGCAAGGUUGAUAGUUUCAACUUUGUUAAUUUAGGCUUGGGGCAAAUCUAUAAAGCCACCAAUUGUGGAGGGGUUUGAAUGCAACUUGAUCAAGUCUUCAAGGGCCUCUUUGCAAGCUUAAAUAAUCAGCUAAUAAGCUGAUUUGGGUCAGUUCUUGGGACGGUUUUUGGGCUGUCCAUUUCUUGGUCAGUUCGGUUUACUUGGUUCAGUUCAACUGGACUACUUUUUUUAUAAUUAAUUAUAAUAAUUUAUUAACCCAAAUUAAAUUAGAUAUAAAUUAAAAUUAAUUAUAUUAUGAAUUAAUAAAUAUAAUUUUGGACCGUCUUAGGCUAAAAUUUAGUUCACCUCGAUACUUCAAAUUGCUUCUUGGUUUUGUGCUUCUAGUAGUGUCAGCCGAGCUAUUUUUCGCCCUUUGUGCAAAUCUAUCGAAAAUAACCAAAAUUCAUCAAAAUUAAUUAUAAAAUUAACUAAAAUUCAACAUGUUCAUAUUUUAAGUGCACUUUAAUUAUUUUGUAAAAUUAAUUAUUUUUUCAACAAGAAUUUUAUUGAAACUGUAUAAUUUUAAGUUAAAAAGGGUAUGUAAAAAUGUGUAAAUUUUCGUGUUGCCACACCCCCAAACUUAAUUCAUUGCUCUUUCCGAGUAAUGCACAAAUUAAAAAGAAUUACUCAGAAAAAACCUUUGAAAAAUUCCUUUAGAAUAACAUUCUUCUCAGAAUUAUGAAUUUUAUAUACUUAUGCUCAAAAAUAAGAAAUUUGAUAGUUAUGCUACUUCAGUAUACAUAUCGUUCAAAUUAAUCUCAACAACUAUUAUGAUAGCACAAUUAGACUAAAUGCUUCCUUAACAAGACAUAUUAACCCUUACCAAUUUGAUUUUAUUUCCUUAUUCAAGAUUAAGCUGCAAUCAUUAAGUUUAACUUAUGCCUUCAUAUGUUGAACAUAGCAAUUCCUCUCCACUAAUAUAGGUAGCAUAGAAAACUUGAAUCAAUAGGUCUUUAAAAAGGUUGUAACGUAGCUAGGCUAGAGGUAGGUAAAAGAUAGAUAAAUUUAUGCUUUUAAAACCCUAGACUCAGCUUCAAUCAGGCCUUUGGAAUAAUUUCCCUCAAUACACCAACUUACUUUGCUUUCAUAUGCUCUUUUGUAAAUCUAUUUUCUUUCAAGUACAUGUGCUCUCUUUUUUUGAGCAUUUUACUGUUUGUACUAAAAUUUUUAGAGCAUUUGAUACUUAUUUUAACUCCCCCAAACUUAUUUUCAAAGAAUAUUCUGAAUAGUACUGAGUCUAGUGUUUGGGACAAUUUAAAGAUAAUUAAGAGAAAAGUGAUGCCUAAAUAUUGCAAGGGUUCAAAUAAAAUUAGGCCAUAUAGUCUCAAAGUUGGGUUUCAAAGGAUAAAAUUUCAUCAAGGUUGGCUUGAAAGGCUUAAAAGAUCCAAACAAGAGUUGCCUAAAUCAUUUUCAACAUUUCUUGCUUCCUAGGAUUUCGCCUCAAGAAACUACUAAGUCAAUUCUAAAGACUUAAACUUUCAUGCAUGCCUACCUUUCUUAAGGAACUAAAAAUUUUAUGGUACUAUUUUCAUGCUUUAUUAAAAAUACAUUUAUAUCAUUAUUUAGCUAACAUAAUAAUUUAUUGAAAUAAUAGAACUUUAUUUAUACUGAAUUUUAGCAUACUUAACAAAAUUCAAAUUAUUGAACACAAUAUAUCCUAAUCAUAAUUAAAAGAAUUAUUUAUUCUGAGUGGAAAUAAUUUUAAUUUUUUGUUUCCCUUACUUAAAAUGAACAAUGUCCUCAUUAUUUAAAGUGAAUAGAUACUAUACACCAGGUAGGAUUCUAGAAAAGAGGAGGUGAGUCAAUUUGACUGCUUAAGUUCCAAGCUCUUUCUAAAUCCAAUCCUAGACAUGUAUAUAUCUGUUGCCACACUUUAUACUUCGUGACUUGUUCAAUUUUAUUAAUGAUUUCCAUCUCUUGUUUUAUUAUGCAAAAAUUUGUAAUUAACUUUAUCCUAAAAUAACCUAAGAACAUAAAUAAAAUAAAGUUGAGAUCCCCCCUUUAUUUAUUUUAGAUGCUUCCAAAUUCUACUCAUCUUUUGCUCCAUCAUUAUUGUCUUUGCAUGAAUUGCUUCGCUCCUUUUUCGAUAAUGGGCUCCAUGGUUCAAAUAUGUAAUAUGGAAACUCAGGCAGAAAAAUAAAUAGGUCAUUGUAAAUUUUCGUAAGAGCACUUCUCAUUGAGUCAUCCAUUAUUUUUUAGUAUUUCCAGUAAGCUUGUUGCUGCCACUGCAUAUGUUGCAUUAUGUCCAUUAACUUUGACAGCUCAUCUCGAAGAUCUGGGUAAGGUGGUUGAGCUUUGAACAUUGAAGUCUUGAUAUCAGGUUCAGGUUCAGGUUCUGGUUCCAUUGGUUCCACCUUAUCAGGGACUUCAGCCGAUUGCAUUGGCUCGAUCUCUGUGGGAUCUUCUUCUUCUUUUUCGGGAUACUCACUUUAUUCAACUCACUGCUGUAUAAUAGAGUCUCCAGCUAUUCAAUAGAGGUCCCAAUCUGUGAUUGUGCCCUGGCUAUAGCCUGCCUUUUUUAUGUUUGCAAGAAUUUUAGCUUUCAAGCAUAGAAUUGUUACCGUAAAGGGAAAGUAAGCUGGGCUAGAACGUGAACGUCUAACGACAUAAUUUCACAUUUCCCUCUGGAUGAUUUUCCCACAUCAAUGGUCUUUCUAGUUAAAAUUGAGUAUAAUAAGACCAUUCGCUUUAAUGAGAUUGUAGUCCCAUGUGAGCUAGGCAUAAGGCUGAAUCGGAUGAAGUAGAACCAUACUUUUGCGAGUGGUGUCAAAUAUUCUCUUCAACAAGUAUGGAUUCCUUACUUUGACACAGUCCACUUAGAACCUGAAACUAUAAGUUCCUUGAGAAUUUCUUACAAAUUUUCAGACUCUAUAUUGCUCAUAAAUGAGGAAUAUUCAUCGUUUUCGAAAUCAGGUAAUUCAAAGAACUCAUUAAUAGCGUUUGAAGUUAUUGGUACCUUGAUUCCGCGAAUUGGAACUUCUGUCAACUCGCUUGAGGUUAAAUUCACAUAGAAUUCGCGUACUAACUCCUCAUCCACACUAGGUCUCUUCUCACAAAACAACUCCCAAUUGAGAGUUUCAGCAACCUGACGAAUACGCGCCAUAAAACCAAUAUAGUUGCUUUCUUUCAAUGUGAAACCUUUCUCUGGAUGCAUCUGUUGAUUCUUGAAGAUACUCUCGUAUCUUGCUUUGGUUUCUUCACAGUGGAACUUGUUUUGUGAUUCGUUAAUUUGGGUAGAUACACGAGUUCUCUUGUGAGGCAUGAUUAACCAGAUCAUAAGAUGGUAACAAUUAUUUUCUCAAAAAUUUAAUUAAUAUAAAAUAUUAAUAAUUCAAUAAAUUUAAAAAUUAGAUAAUUAAAUUAAAAUUUAGGAUAAAAAUUGGUUUUACCACCUUUUUUGUAAAAAUUAAGAGCUCUUAAGAAAAAAUAAUUUUGAAUCAAAAGAUGGCAAAUUAAAAUAGGUUGAGAGGUUUUUGGCUAAGGAUGGGUGAAAGGGUGGUGUGCCGCUUGGGUAUGCAAGGCAGCAGUGCGUAGCAAGGGAUGGAUGUGAGCAGCGUGCGAAUCGUUGAACUGGCCUGCUGUGGACGUGCGCGGGGUGCUGCUGACCGAUCAGCUGGGCAAUGCUAUGGCUAGGGAAUUGUUAGGAGGUUUCGACACUUAAGGGUUUUGGUGUUUUUGGAGGGAAUGGUGUAUGAAUGAAAAAAAAUAAGAAUAGAUGGGUGGAAUUUAUAGUGAAAGGAGGAGGAGCUAGAGUAGAAUUCUUACAAAUUCUAAGUUCUAAUUCUACUCAAAGUAUAUAAUGAUUAAUAAUUAAUAUAAUGCAUAUUAAAUUAUUAUGUUCCAUUUUUAUUAAGAUAAAAACUUAUCGAAUAAAAUAUGAUUAAAUUAAAACUAAUCCUAACUCUAAAUAAAGCUGAUAAUAAUUAAUAUAUAUUAUAAUGGAUAUAAUUAUAUAUUAAUAAUUAUCAUCUUUUCUUUUUUUUAUUGAAAUAAAAACAUUUAUUCUAGAUGCUUUUUGAAAAUAUUUACAAAAAGAGGCAUCUAAUUUUUAAUAUUUACAAAAAGAGCAACCAAAUUUUUAAAAACAAUUCAAUUAAGUUCCUAGGCUUAAUGAAAAUUUCAAAUUGAGUUGCAACAUAAAACUAGGACCAAAUUGACCCUUUUAUUUGAAAAACUAAAAAUUUGUUUUGUCAUUUAGGGAAUAAUUUCUUGGGUAUGUUAAAAUCAAUUCCUAGGAAAGAUUGGAAAGGUCACAAGCGGUCUCGCUUAAGUUCCAAUCUCCUAGACAGAAUUUAUUUAAACAUACUAAUCUCGAAAAUAUACCCUAGAUCAUUUAUUCAAAUAGAAGAACAAGAAAAGUUAAAUAUCUGAUAAAAUGAAUGAGAUUUGAUUCCGUUCAAUCUUAUCUCCGCAGUAAUGUUUCAAGCAUUGAGCAUUAACUCGAAAAUUACCUCCCUUACUUUAAAGUUCAACAACUCCGUAUGGAUAGAUUCGAUGAAUCAUAAAAUUGGAUUGGACUAACGUGAUUUUAACUUACCUGGAAAGAACCUUAAUCUAGAAUUGAAUAAUAAGACUUACUGACUUGCUUCAAAUUCUCGAACUCGAAUGUGCUUGUCAUGCCAUUUCUUGAGUCUCUCCUUAAGUAAUUUGGCAUUCUCUUAUGAAGACAUUUGGAAUUCUUCUAACUCGUUAAGUUGAAGCAUCCGUUUCUCUUUGGCACUUUUAAGAUCCAAGUUGAGUCGUUGGAGAGCCCAGUAAGCUUUGUGUUCUAAGUCCAAGGGUAGAUGACAGGCUUUCCAAAAGACUAACCUAUAGGGUGACAUCCCUAAAGGUGUCUUGUAUGCUGUCCUGUAAGCCCAUAAAGCAUCAUCCAGUCUUUUGGACCAGUCUUGUCGGUUCGGGCAAAUUACCUUCUCAAGUAUGCCUUUGAUCUCAUUGUUUGCCAGUUCAGCUUGCCCAUUUUUCUGCGGAUGGUAAGCUGUAGCGACCUUGUGUUUCACUCCAUGUUUAUCUAAUAACCAUUUCAACCACUUGUUUACAAAAUGGGACCCUUCAUCACCAAUGAUGGCUCUUGGGGUUCCAAACCUGUUGAACACAUGUUUCUGCAAAAACUUUAUUACAACCUUAGCAUCGUUUUUCGGAUAUGCCUCUGCCUUAACCCACUUAGACACAUAGUCUAUUGCUACUAAUAUGUACUUGUGACCAAAAGACGGAGGGAAAGGACCGAGAAAGUCAAUACCUUAAACAUCGAAAAAUUCUACCUCAAUGAUGUUUGUUCGAGGCAUCUCAUUUUUGUUGGUGACAUUUCCGACCCUUUGACAUCGAUAACAACUCUUUACGGAAGCAUAUGUAUGUUUGAAUAGUAUUAGCCAAAAGAAUCCGACUUGCAAUACCUUGCCUACAGUAUGUGUACCUUCGAAGUGUCCCACACUCGGAGCUGAGUGAUAAUGGUAUAAAAUCUUAUGUACUUCAUCUUCUGCCAUGCAUCUCCUGAUCAUUUGAUCUGCACACUUUUUAAAAAAAUAUGGUUCUUCCUAGAAAUAGUACUUUACAUCGUGAAGAAACUUUUUCUUUUGAUAAUAUGUCUUAUCAAUCGACAUCAAACCACAAGCUAAAAAGUUAGAAAUAUCAGCAAACCAAGGGGUAUUAUGGACAUGAUUUACCUUCAGUAUGUGUUCAUCUGGAAACGUCUCUCGAAUUGGUAUAAGAGGAGAGUUCCCUUCUUGCAUCUCCAAUCUGGACAAAUAGUUUGCUGCUUGGUUUUCCACUCCCUUUCGAUCUUGAAUUUCUAGAUCAAACUCUUGAAGUAUAAGUUCCCAUCAGAUCAGUCUCGGCUUAGCGUCUUUCUUGGCAAGUAAAUACUUAAUUACCAAGUGGUCCGUAUAAAUAGUCACUUUGGUACCUACAAGAUAAGAUUGAAACUUGUCAAAAGCAAACACAAUAGCAAGUAACUCUUUUUCUGUUACUAUGUAAUUCAGAUGAGCUCCUGUCAAAGUCUGACUCUCAUAGUAGAUGGGAUGAAAAACUUUGUUCCUUCACUGACCCAUGACAGCUUCAAUUACAAAGUCCCUUGCGUCACACAUAAAUUUAAAUGGCAAAUCCUAGUAUGGUGUGACUAUUACAAGUGCUGAGACUAACCUACUCUUCAAAUCGUUGAAAGCUCUUAAGCACUCAUCAUCAAAUUUAAACGCCGUGUCCUUCUCUAAUAAUUUGCAUAAGGGUUUAGCAACUUUGGAGAAGUCCUUGAUGAAUCUUCGAUAGAAACCGGUGUAGCCCAAAAAGCUCCUAACACCCUUUAAAAAUAUUGGAGGUGGGAGUUUCUCAAUAACAUCUACCUUUUCUUUGUCUACCUUGAUUUCAUAUCUUGUUAUCCGAUGCCCUAUAACAAUACCUUCUCGUACCAUGAAAUGACACUUUUCCCAGUUAAGUACAAGGUUUGUUUCUUCGCAUCGCCUUAGUACCUUGGCUAGAUUGGGUAGGCAAUCAUCAUAUGUAUCUUCGAAUACUGAAAAAUCAUCCAUAAAAACUUCCAAAUAUUUCUCAACCAUGUCAGUAAAAAUAGAUAUCAUACAUCUUUGAAAUGUAGUAGGUGCAUUACAUAAACCAAAUGGCAUGCAGCUAAAUACAAAUGUACCGUACAGGCAGGUGAAUGUUGUCUUGUGCUGAUCUUCCGGUGCUACUGUAAUCUGAUUAUACCAUGAGAAUCCAUCAAGAAAACAGUAAUAGUCUCGCCCUGCGAGUCUAUCCAGCAUUUGGUCCAAAAACGGAAAGGGAAAGUGAUCUUUCCUAAUUGCCUUGUCCAGCUUCUGGUAAUCGAUGCAAAUUCUCUAUCCCGUAACUGUUCUAGUCGAUAUCAACUUGUUAUUCUCAUUUUCAAUGGCUGUGAUACCUCAUUUCUUUGGCACGCACUGGACCGGACUUACACAUGAACUAUCUGAGAUGGGGUAAAUUAUACCCGCAUCUAACUACUUGAUGAUUUCUUUCUUAACUACGUCCUUCAUGAUGGGGUUCAGUCUUCAUUGUCCAUCAAUCAUCCCUUUUUCGCCAAAUUCUAAGAUAAUCUUGUGCAUGCAUACAGAUGGACUAAUUUCGCGAAUAUCGGCUAUGGUCCAUCCGAUAGCCUUCUUGAAUUACUUUAACACCAGGAUGAGUUUCUUUUCUUGCUCAGUAGUUAAUUCUGCUAAAACAAUCACAAGCAGAGUAGAAGAGUUACCUAAAUAAACAUAUUUCAAAUGUGAGGGAAGUACCUUAAGUUCUAAUUUAGGUGGCUCCUUGAUUGACGCUUUUGGUUGGGCAUAAUCUUUUUUCUCUAACUCCAAAGAUUCAAAGCGGGAUUGCGGAUUAGAUCCCCUUUGAUUAGCUUCUUACAAAGCUAAGUAUUCAUACUCCUCUUCAUCAUUUGGAGGAUCUGAUGUCAAAAUUUGUUCCAAUGGGUCCUCAACAUAAUGAAGUUCCUUCUCUACGAUUAAAUCCUCUAAAUCAGAAAUUGUAGAACAAUCAUCAAUUAUGACAGGAAAGCGCAUGGGCUUAAAAACGUUAAAUGUUACUUGAUCAUCCUGAACAUUCAUAGUAAGUUUGGCCUUUCCCACAUCAAUAAGGGUCAUUCCGAUUGCUAGGAAUGGUCUUCCUAGGAUGAUUGACACCUCUUUGUCUGCUUCAAAGUCUAGAAUCACAAAGUCAGCAGGAAAGAUAAAUUUGUCUACACUUACCAAUAUAUCCUCGAUUUUUCCUUCUGGAUGUGCUAAGAAUCGAUCUGCUAAUUGAAGUGUAACCGUAGUAGGUCUAACUUCACCUAUCCCCAACUUCCUAAAUAUUGACAUGGGAAUUAAGUUGAUACUCACACCCGUCACAUAGUGCCUUACCAUAAUAUGUUUCUCCAAUAUUGCAAGGUAUGGUAAAACAUCUAGGAUCCUUCAAUUUUUGGGGUAGUUUGUCUUGAAGAUAUGCACUGCAUUCCUUCGUUAGGGCUACCGUCUCAAAUUCUCCAAGCCUUCAUUUUUUAGACAAGAUAUUCUUCAUGAAUUUGACGUAGUUCAGCAUUUGUUCAAAGUGCUUCAACCAACAGGAUGUUGAUAUGGAGUUGCUUGAGUACAUCUAGGAACUUCUUGAAUUGAAUUUCCUGCUUCUGCUUCUAAAGUAUUUGAAGGUAGGGUGGUGGAGGUUUCUUUACCGGAACUGGUUGAUUCAUUUUUUGUGGCAAUUCUGCAUCUAACGGAGUUAUUAGUUAAUCAGAAUUAGCUGGUUCAGAAGUUACCUUGUCAAAUUUUGCAGAUUCAAUUUUCGGUGAAACUGGAAUUUCAACACUCAGUUGAACUUUCUCUAAGUCUUGAGCGUCAGCUAGCUCCUUCUCAACUUCAAUGGAAUUGGGCUCUAAAGUCUUACCACUCCUCAAUGUUAACACUUUACAAUGCUCCUUCCCUGGAUUCCUCAGAUUCUUCGUAUCACUAGGUAAAGCACCUUGUGGUCGAUUUCUGAGUUCAGUUGCAAGCUGGCCCACUUGAUUCUCCAAAUUCCUUAGAGAGGCAUCAUUUUUCACCAUGUAUGCCUUCAAUAUAUUCUCUAGGCUAUUGGAUGGUUUAGCUUGGGUUGGUUCCUGAGCUUGUUGGGAAAAACUAAGUGGCUGGGUCGAUCGAGGUUAGACAUAAUUGUUACUAGUUCUUGCCCCUUGGUUACUCCAAGAGAAAUUCUGGUGGUUUCGCCAUGAUGGGUUAUAGAAAUUGGAUUGCAACCCUUGCCUUCCUCGAUUUUGGUUUUGGUUACCCAUGUAAUACACAGAUUCUGGGUUCGAUGGACAUUCUUCGAACAAAUUUCCUUCCCCACAAUAAACACAGGCUACAUUUUCAAAUUGAUUCAGUGGCUGUGCUGCAAAGUUAUUACUCCCAUUAGUAGUAAGAUUUUUUAACAUUGAGGAUAUUGAUGAUACUUGAGAUGCAAGUGAAGUAAGAGCGUCUACUUCAUGUAUUCCAGUGACUUAUUUUCCUAACGCUGCUCGAUUGGUUGGCCAUUGAUAAUUGUUGCUGGCAAUAAUGAUUUUAUAAGCCUCAUUAUAAGACAUAGAAAGGAGAGCACCAUUAGUAGAAGCGUCCACUACCAUCCUCGUGUGAGCAUUGAAACCAUUAUAACAUGUCUCAAGUGGUAUGCAAUGUGGGAUUCCAUGAUGAGGGCACUUCUGUAAUAAUUCUUUGCACCUUUCCCAUGCCUCAUACAAUGACUCAUCAUCUAUUUGUUGGAAAGCAGUGAUCUUAUUCCUCAACUUAGCAUUCUUGUUAGGCGAGAAAUACUUCAUAAGGAAUUUUUCUGCUAACUCUUGCCAUGUUGAAAUUAAGUUUGGUGGUAAUGAGUUCAACCAAGCUCGAGCUCUGUCCCUUAGUGAAUAUGGGAACAACUUCAAUCGUAAUGCAUCUUCAGGUACUCCGGCUAACUUGAAAGAAUCGCUCACCUCCAUAAAUAGUCUUAAGUAUAGGUGAGGAUCCUCAGUAGGCAUUCCACUGAAUUGGCCCACUGUUUGAAGCAUUUGGAACAUGAUUGGCUUCAACUCGAACUGUUGUGCCUCAAUUUUGAGUCUCCUAAUACCCGAAUUCAAAUCAUGAAAUAAUGGCACGACAUACUGUCUCAAAGCUCUAUCCUUAUCAUCAGCAAUAAGGAUAGGAUUUUGAGUAAGGUUUGCUCCAUUUCCUUGAUUCAAAUUUUUGAAGUUCGUCUCUUCAGUCCUUCUCUGACUUGUUUGUCUUCUUCGCUGUCAAAAAGUUCGUUCAAUCUCAGGUUCUACAGGGAGUAAAUCGAUGAUUUAGUCAAUACUCAUAAACGCCUAAAAUAAUCACAGAAAAAUUAACUAACAACUUCACAAAUAAUGACUUUUUAAAAACACAGUCCCUGGCAACGACGCCAAAAACUUGGAACGGCAGAAAUGAGCAAGUGUACACAAUCGUAAAAAGUAAUAAAGUGACAAGUAAAUGUCGAGUGAAUUUUGGAAUGCCCCUUUCCCAAGAGGAGAAAUCGGCAAGAGAGCAAGGUAAUUUUGGAAUGGAAAAGAAGAGAGAAAGUGGAGAGAAGAGAGGAAAGAUGUGAAUGUUUGAGGUGUGUUUCUAAAAUGACCAGCCUAAGGGGGUUUUUAUAGCUAAGGAGGGCUGCUAAAAAUAGCUAAAAUUAUCAGCCAAAAAUCCCUCCCUUGGCCGGCCACACAUGUGGCAAGGUUGAUAGUUUCAACUUUGCUAAUUUAGGCUUGGGGCAAAUCUAUAAAGCCACCAAUUGUGGAGGGGUUUGAAUGCAACUUGAACAAGUCUUCAAAGGCCUCUUUACAAGCUUAAAUAAUAAGCUAAUAAGCUGAUUUGGGUCAGCUCUUGGGAAGGUUUUUGGGCUGUCCAUUUCUUGGACAGUUCGGUUCACUCGGUUCAGUUCAAUUGGACCACUUUUUUCAUAAUUAAUUAAUAAUAAUUUAUUAACCCAAAUUAAAUUGGAUAUAAAUUAAAAUUAAUUAUAUUAUGAAUUAAUACGUAUAAUUUUGGACCGUCUUAGGCUGAAAUUUAGCUCACCUCGAUACUUCAAAUUGCUUCUUGGUUUUGUGCUUCUAGUAAUGUCCGCCGAGCCAUUUUUCGCCCUUUGUGCAAAUCUGUCGAAAAUAACCAAAAUUCAUCAAAAUUAAUUAUAAAAUUAACUAAAAUUAAACAUGUUCAUAUUUUAAGUGCACUUUAAUUAUUUUGUAAAAAUUAAUUAUUUUUUCGACAAGAAUUUUAUCGAAAUUGUAUAAUUUUAAGUUAAAAAGGGGUAUGUAAAAAUGUGUAAAUUUCCAUGUUUCCAACAUGCCAUAACUAAUGCCAAAAAUUUAGUUCAUAAUAUCUUCAAACUUUACUUGUGAUAACAUGAGUUGAGAAUGCCCUUCAACUUCUAGCUUCAAAGCGAAUUUUACCUAUACGUUAAGCUCACAAAGGCUUAAUAAUUAUAUCAAGAAUUAUGCAAUAUAAUAAAAGUUUAAUUUAUAAAAAUUCAUGAAUAUAUAUAAACAUGAUCAUGUGUAUAAUACUAGCAUUAAUCUCUAAGCUCAUUCUCAAGUUUGUUUUAAAAAAAACUACAACUAGGUGUCAUUUCACACCAUACAAGCCACUUACCAUUGCUGCCUUAAUGUACACUUACCUUUUUUUUUAAUUCAAUUGCCCAAUUGUAAACUUAAUAGAACACGAUAGGAUAUUUGGAAAUGUCAGUAAGAUGCACUAAAGUGUCGCUAUUCUUCGCACGAAUGUGCGGACUUCACUUUGCACUGAAGUGCCACUCACUUGCACCAUAGUGCCACUUUCACUUGCACUGUAGUGCCACUAUCACUUGCGUGCUUAAUCACUUAAUGGCAUACCUUUAAUAUCCUAUUGGUUCUCAUUUUGUCUACAUGAGAAUUUAAACUAUACCACUCCAUUACACUUUCUCAACAAUUAAAACAAUUCAAACUUUAAUAAUUUUACAAUUUAGUCCUUACCUAAAUGGAAACAACAAUUAUGAAAAUUUCACUUGACAUUUAUUUCAUCAAAUUAUAACACUUCUGAUAAAUACUCCAUAUUAUUAUUUACUUCAUCAAAUUCACUAUACAUAGACUCUUCAAUUUAUUAUAACUAUUCAACUCCUCUUUUAAUUAAAUUUCAUAAUACAAGGCAUAAUUUUAAUAUUAAAAUAAGAUUACAUGAUAUUGUUAAAUUAGUUCAUCAAAUUUUCAUCAAGGGUUUAAGUAAUAUAAAGUAAAACUCUUGAUAUAUUUACAACAAAAAUACUUGGAUGGAUGUUUCUUCUUCCUUCUUUACUCUUUUGCAACCCCUUUACCUUUAUCUUCAAUUUGUUCUUCACCUUCUCUUUCUCUUCAAUAACAUAAUACACAUACAUAUCAUUCAAUAUCAAAGAACCCUACUCUAUUUCCAUGUAUUAGAGUGAAAUAAACAUAAAAUCUUUAAGAAAUUCGAUCAUCUUACCUUAACAUUUUAAAAUCCCUAACUUCUCUUUUCUCCUCAAAGUGUGUUCUUACUAUCACCACCAAAACUAAUCAUACCAUGAAAUUCCUAUGGUUGUUUUUCUAAAAUCUAUGGUGAAACCUUAAUUUUAAAAGCUUGGGAAGGUUGAAAAUGGUGGAGGGGACAAAAAUGAAAAGAAAAAAAAAAUUUGCUAUGGUUGGGGGAGAAGAAAAAGUGUAGAAGAAGAUGGAAAAAGAUGAUGAUGUUUCCUUCUUUUUCUACAUCCUUCUAAAAAAAAAUCUAUCUAUCUAUCUAUCAGUCUUUUCUAUUCUCUUUUAAGAAAAACUAGCACUUAAUUAGAAAUAAUUAUAAUCAUCAUAAUUUCCAUCGCAUCUCCAUGUAUUUCAUGGUCAAUUUACACUCUAAGUCCUUACUCUUUUUCUUAUCCAUCUAAUUCCAGCAUAUCUUACUUUUAAAUUUUGCAUUAUAGCCCAACACUUCUCACACUAUUUCAAUUUAAUCCACUCCUUAAUUUAAUUUCUCUAAAUUCAAAAGUCUUUUUUAAUUUCCUAUAGCAUUUAAUUAUUUCUCCACUGAUCUCAAUAUUUCCAUUUUUUUCUUCCUUGAAGAUUUCGAACACAUGUCAACCCGAAUUGACACUAUUUUCUUCUCAAGAAAUAUCAUGGAUGUUACACUAAGAUAUAUAUCUUCGAACUCUAUGAAGACAUCUCAACUCAGAAAUGCCUGAAUCCCAUUUAAAAAGUAGCCGCAAGUCGAUUGAUUUUCCAAACUUGAAAAUUAACAUCUUAGGUGAAUGAAAUUUAAUAAUUUCAUCCCAUCCGUGCAUGUAUCAAAAUUUUCGAAAAAAUCAAUGAGAUGAAAUUCUAGUCAAUGUAAAUUCUCUUUUUAUUCAAAGGUUUGAUAAUUGAUGCAAAAACGAAUUUCAAUAUUCUUUAAUAAAUUAUUUAUAGUUACCGACAAUCGCCGAGUAACCUAAUAUAUUCUUACCUAUUCGAUAAUCGAGACAAUAGUCAUUAAUUACUUCUCUUAUUGACAAAUAACCUUAUAACGAUCACUUAGGAAUUUAAUUUUAUCAAUAGUCUUAAGAAUGAAAGAGACCAAAUUAUAACCAAUAAACACAAAAUUAAAGUUUAUUUAAGUUAGAUUACAUAACCAUACUACAGAAAUAAUAUCAUGUAGUCAUCACAAAUAUUGGAAUCAAUCAAUCGACUAAAUCCAUAAUUGAUAAGGAAAUCAUUCUAAGCUAUCAAAUGCUAGCCACAUAUUUAACAAACCUAAAUAAUUAUAAUUAAACCAAAAGACAUGUAAAUACCAAAGAACAAAGAAAAGAUUAAUAACAAUUCGAUCUCACAAACUUUAUAGAAUCAAACUUUGAAUAUUACUUCAACUAGAAAAUAAGAGUUUAGCAAGCCAUAAAGAAAAUAAAAUGCAAAAUCAAAUAAAGUUGAGAGCGGAGAUGUAUCCAUCUCCUCCUAAUAAUGUCUCUUUAUAGGGCAAAAAUAAUAUAAUCAAGAAAAUACAAAAGUGCCCUUGAAUUUAAAAACUAGAAUUUUUCUAGGUUUUCGAUAAUUUUUGCGUUAAACUUCCAGGCCAUUUUUGGGUAUCUUCCUGACCUUUUUGGGCUUGAGUCAUUUAAUAAAUUUAUAUUUUUCAAUUCUCAUCGAAUCGAUAUAUUAUAUGCCCAAAACGAAUGUCUGUAGCUCAAAUUAUGGCCAAAAUACUGAAACUACACUAUUGAAAGUCCAAACUGCAAAAAAUUAUCAAAAAUAAACUUUAAGAUCAUUUUUAUCUAAUUAUUCCUUGAAUACAUAAUAAAUAAAAUAUAAGUAUAAAUAAUAUAAUUAAGAACAUAAAUAGCAUAAUUCAAGAGGAGAAAUACCACAAAUAAUUGAGAAAUUACGCACUUAUCAAAUUUUCCCACACUUGAAUCAUACUUUUCCUCAAGCAUGAAACUAAUACAAAUGAUAUAAUCGAUAAAAUACAAAAAUAAUAUAAUCAAGAAAAUACAAAAGUGCCAUUGAAUUUAAAAAGCAAUUUUUUUUCUAGGUUUUCAACAAUUUUCGUGUUAAACUUCCAAGCCAUUUUUGGGUACCUUCCUAACCUUUUUGGGCUCGAGUCAUUUAUAUUUUUCAAUUCUCAUCGAAUCGGUAUAUUAUAGGCCCAAAAAAAAUGUCUGUAGCUCAAAUUAUGCCCAAAAUACUGAAACUACACUAUUGAAAGUCCAAACUGCAAAAAUUUGCCAAAAAUAAACUUUAAGAUCCUUUUUCUCUAAUUAUUCCCUGAAUACAUAAUAAAUAAAAUAUAAGAAUAAAAAAAUAUAAUUAAGAACAUAAAUAGAAUCAUUUAAGAGGAGAAAUAUCACAAAUAAUUGAGAAAUUACACAUUUGUUAAAUUCCCUCACACUUGAAUCGUACUUGUCCUCAAGCAUGAAACUAAUGCAAAUAAAAAUGUGAAUGAAAAUGCAACCUAAAGAAACACUUAACUCAAAUCGAUAAUUGAAAAUAGCAUUAUAUACCAAUAGGGCAAGCAAACAUGUUUUCAUGAAUACAUUCGAAAUCUUGUAUGCUAAACAAAAUGUAGCAAUAACAAUGAUUCAUACAAUUAGGAAGAAUUAGAAACAAAAGAACUUCGUGCUCAUGUAUGGUUAUCUUCCCUAAUAAUAUGAAAUGUAUAAGAUACUAGAGAAAUCAAGAGAAUAUUUUCAAACUUCAUCAUGCUUUCUAAAAUCACUAGGUUUACAACAUCCACAAUUUCAAUCGAGCAUAAAGUAUCAAACUUCUUUUCCUUCAACUUCACUUCAAUUUGUUUAUUAGCAUGAGAUAGAAUAAUAAUUCAAGCAAUAAUACAAUUAAGCUUGUUUUUUUUCUUUCUUUUUGAAUUGAGUACGAUUACCUUUGAACACGAGUGUAGAUGACAACCCAAACACCUACCUGAAUUACUCGGUUAAUCAAACCUAAACAAUCUUUAACUUUACUCAUAUCUACAUUAGUGGAGCAUACUAGGAAAAAAUGAACCUUUUAACGUGAAGGUAAAUGACAACCAAGCACAUUCAUUAAUAUUCAAUCCAAUAAUCAAGCUCGAAAAUAUCAAAAUUUCACCUAGAUCAUUCUUUGUAAGCAUGCUUCAAAUAAAAUUAUUCUCUCAAAAAAUUCUAAAAUUGAUUAUAGAAAGCAUAUCAAUAGAAAAACAAUGUGAAUUUAGAUCAUAUGAAGUAUCUAUUGUUCUAACAAACACCCUAACAACAUAAAUCAAUGUUACAAAUUUUAUAUAAAGUCAACAUUUAGGUUUCGAAAAUUUUUAUUAUGACAAAUUUACAAAUCUCAAAGUCAUAUAAACAUGAUUACCAUCUCAUCAAGUUAAGAUUUCAUGUAAACUACAUGCAUCAUCCAAAAAUAAAAGAAAUAAAAAUAUGAAAAAGCUUAAAAAAUAAUUAACUAAAAAUUCAUUUAAACUAAAUUGACUUGAAUCCCCUACACUUAAAUUGAAAAUUUUCCUCAAUGGUCCAAAAAUAAGCGAAGAAUUAUGAAACUACCCUGUUUAUGUGCUCAAAAAAUAUAUCAAAGUAGACCUAUCCUCCAUUCCUCUCGAAGCAUCAAUGACUUUUUCUAUCAAGUGGGGUGAUACUAAGUGUAGUUUAAGAAUUAAUUUCGUACUUGCAUCUAUCUCUCUUGUCUAUGUGUUCAACAAUAAGUCUAAAAAUAGCGAGAAUUUAAUGAGAAAAAAUCAAAUAAUAAAUUAAACUGGUCUUAUCAAAUUUCUGAAGUCGCUCCCUUGAUCUAUUGUAGAAACUUUUCUUUUAUUACAUUUGAUUUCACAGAAAAAUAGAAAAAUGACUAAACCGAGUAAAACAACUUUAAGACGAUCAAAUAUAAGGUAUAAUAUCAAAUAUAAAAUUAUAAAAUACAAAAAAACCCCUAAAAUGCGAAUUUCGGUUGUCCAUUCCACCAAAAAUAUGAAAAAAAUUCAAAUCGAGAGGGUUUCCAUCGGCGUGGGGGUGUGGAAGGGCACCAAGGUGCAAGCAAGCAUUAAAUAGGGGCUCAUUUGCGUUGGGGUGCGGUCUUGUGGUGCCAAGGCUUACGAAUGAUCGCAUCGUGACUCCAAAUUUGGCGUUGUAGCACUAGAUAUGGGGAUGUGGCUCCACAGUUUUGAGUUGCAAUCCACUCAUCCUUCUUUUAGUUCUUUGCAUUUUGCCUUUUUUUUGCUCAUUCAUUUCACUUCCAUUGGUCUUCAAACUUGCACCCAAGUUCAUAUGCACCAAAUUAAAGUCAAGAAACACCAAACUAAAUAAUAAUACUAAAUCAUAUAAAAUUAAAGCAAAAAUGCUAAUAUAUGAAAAUGUGAUACUAAACAUGCAAAUGAUGCUAAAACAUGAUAUUUUACUUGAAGAGAAUUGAAAAGUAAAGUAGUAAGGGUCCAAAAUAUAUGAAUUAUGAGUACUUAUCAUACAUAACCUUUUGCUUGUCUUCAAUCAAAACAAACAUAAAUGCACAUAAAAUGCAAAUAUACAUGCGACUUAGAGAUGCAUUCUAUAUGCAAUGCAAUGAAAAAAAAAUAAACAUUAUUUAACCACGGAGUUGCCUCUCCAUAAGCAUCUUUGUUUAAUUUCUUUGGUUAGGCAUUGCUUUUCUGAUCUGUUGAAGUAAUUGUAUCAAGCAAAAGAAUGCCAUUAGCUUGCAAAAUUUUUUGUUUUCGCUUACUAAGUGGUUUAUGUAACGCCUCAGAAUUUUUAUUUUUGUUCUUGCGAAGGUAUGACCCAAUUGUGUAUCUGCUUCAAUGGUUAAGUGUUCUGGGUGUGUGAGAGGUCCCAAGUUCGAGCCAAGACUUAGGCAAACUUUGGUAUUUUUAAGAAUAAGCCCUAUCUUUGGUCAGUAGGCUUUUAAGUAAAAGUUGACAAAUAAUUAAUAGAAUGGGCCUGCUGGUUUGGUGGAUGAGUAGAGUGUUGGCAUGAAGGAGGUCUUAUGUUCAAUUCUUUGUGAUGGCGUGGAGAUAGUAUUUUUGCUCCAAUUUCGGCUAAGAGUUGGUUUGGGGUAAAAUUCUGAGUAGUUGUGUUUUAGUAGGUUAAUAGGGAGUAAUUUUAGGAGAUAAUGGGGGAGAGGUUAUCAGAAAAUAAUCUAAUUAUCUUUUAUUGCAGAAAAAAAAGUAGAGUUUCGAUUUUCUCUCCAAUUAUCCAAACUUUUUCUAACGUUUUCUUCUUCUUCUUUUCCUCCUCUGCCGAUUCUUUCCCCUAGUUGCUGCCAAAAUUUCAAUUAUUUUUCCCAUUCUGUUUCUUUCUUUAUUUUCCAAUUGAUUUGGUUGUUCAUCGUUGGUUGAGUGUGUUCGGUAACUAACGGUUUUGUCUAUUGUUAAUCGUUCUUAGUUAAUCUCUAAAAGGGGGAUUCCUUUUUGGUGUUUAGGAGUUAAUCAAGGGGCUGGUGGUUUUGAAUCGACGCUGUGAUUGUGCGAAGUCGUGGUUACUCAAGUGAGGUAAGGGUUUUGUUAGGUUUUUAGUCGAGUUCCUUCCAAAAUUGGUUGAUUAAAAAUGAAUUAAGUGAUUAAUCUGGAGAUCUGUUGAUUGAUUUUUAGAUUUUAGAGGCUUAGGAGUGCUUACGCAUCAGAAACGAUACUAGUUGUGUACUUGAAACCCAGAAAAUGGGAUUCGGCGAAAUGUAGAAAUUACUUGCUGUUUGGACAGUAGCAGUAGGCUAACUUUGAAAAAUCACCAUAAAUUGUGGAAAUUAAAUUAGAGGAUGAACAAAAUAUGGAAUUAAAUCUUAUUGAGUCAGUGUAAGUAAUGGAAAUGUAAAUCCUGAGAUAUAAUAAAUUUUGUGAGACAAGGUCAGAAUGAAUUUGGGUUCCCCUGUUCCGACUUUAGAAAAUCAUCAAAAAUUGGAGAAAAAUAAUUAGGUGUUAAAAUUUACAUGUUUAAAAUUAUUAACGAGUCUAUUUUCAAUAGAAACAAAUGGAAACAUCAUCCAAAUUUUGUACCGAGAGAAAAUUAAUUUUUAGCAAAGAAAGGUCGAAGCUGUCAGACAGCAGAAUAGGGGUAAGAUUGAUGAUUUUACUGUACUUAUCGGCUGAAUCAAAAAUUUUGAAAAUUUUAUGGUGGGAAGGUAUUUGAGUCUAGUUUUAAAGACAUCAAGCAAUGUAACACCCUAAACCCGGCCUAAACGUUAUGGCCGAAUCUGACGAUGUCACAGGGUAGUGCUUUUUGAAAAAUAUGUCGUUGCUAAAUUCCCUUUUCUAUUUAAACAUUUUUUUCAUUACCUUAUGUUAAUUUCAAAUCAUGUCGUUCGUUUCCAAAACAUUAUUCAUUUACAAAUCGUUAUUCAAUUUCAAAAUAUUUUUUUAUUGCGAAAGCUUUUAAACAGUUUGCGUAUUUGUUGUAUUGUUGAUAAAACAUUAAUUUCAUUUGAAAACCCGAGUUUUACCUAACACUACUAGAUUUAAAUCAUAAAACCGUAUAAAACCAAAAUUUAAACCAAAAUCUGUAAAGGCCAUAGUUAUAGCAAAAUACUACCAAAUAAAAUUAAAAUCAUAAAUAGGUAAUAAACAGUGUAAAAGAAGUCGUGUGGCCACCACUGAGUCCUCCGCCACACUGAUCCGCUUAUAUCUGGGGAUUACCUGUACAGAUUAAACAGAAGGGGGUGGGUUUACGUAAACUCAGUGUGUAAUCCCUAUACAAAUGAACAGACAGUAAACAGAUAAUCACAGUUUGGGUUUAAGCCCUUUUCAGUAUCAGUAUCAGUCCAGUUUGGACCUUAGCCUAUAUCGAUACAAUAAUAGUCAUAUAGUAGGGCUUUAGCCCAUCAUAGUAUCAGUAGCAGUAACAGAUAUGCAGUUACAAAAAUCCUACCCAUCCAGUCUCUACACACCAUCUCCAUCCAACCCUACACUCCAUGUGGGGAUAUAAUCAACCCACCCAUCCCUAUACUCCAAGUAGUACCGAAUGCGGCACUAGAAAGUAGUUUGCAGUUGAGCUGCCAGUAAAUUAGGCUCGAGGUCUUUUAGUACACUUCCUCCGAACAUUAUAAUCCCCCAACCCAAUGUAAUGCAAUAUACAGAUAUGACAUGCUAUAACAUAAUAUCAUGCAUGUAAAUAGGGCAUACAAUAUCAAAUUAGUGGGCCAUCAUCAGGCUUAAUCAUAUGAGUCAUACAGUCAUUUCAGUCAAUUAGGGGUCUAGGUAAACUUACCAACCCUACAGUAGGUUCAUUGUCAACUUGGGCGACCCGUGCAACCUUAUCAGUCAAAUAAUGAAAAUGGGCCUACAAGCUCAUGAUAUUCACCUGUAUGGGCCCACACGCCCGUGUGGCCCAGAUGGCCCAAAUUGGCCUUGGCCUUGUGAUCUAUUUUAAUGUAACUCGUGCUAGAUAAUUAUUCAUAUGUGUUUCCACUAUUUACUUAUAUGAUCCUUCAAAGCUAUCUACUUGAGCCACUGUUACUAAAUUAUUUGUAUCUUAAGCUACAAAAUUUCGAAUUAAGAUCCACAAAUUUUCCCUAAAACUAGACUCACAUUUCUUCUUACCAUAAAAUUUUAAGAAUUUUUGAUUUAGCCAAUAAGUACAAUUUAUUCUUUGAAGUUUCCACUAUUCUGUUUUCAAAUAGUUUUGACCUUUCUGCACUAAAAAUAAAUUAUCUUCUCGUACAUAAUUUGGGUGAUGUUCCUAUUUGUUUCUCUUGAAAAUAGACUCAAUCAGGAUUUUAAAAAUAUAAAUUCUAACCCAUAAUUAUUUUAUACAAUUUUUAAUAAUUUUCCAAAGUCAUGACAGAGGAUUCCUAAAUCAUUCUGAUCCUGUCUCACUAAAAUUCAAAUAUCUCAUAAUAUGAAAUUAUUUUUCUUCAUUUAUUUUAUGAGAAACUAGACUCAAAUAUAAUCAAUCCCAUAUUUUUUUCAUCCUCUAAUUCAAUUUCUAAAAUUUAUGGUGAUUUUUCAAAGUUAGCCUAUUGUUGCUGUCCAAACAGCAAGCAAUUUCAGCUUUUCGCCGAAUCCCUUCUUUUUGUGUUUCGGGUACACACCUAGUUUUCUUUGAUGCUAAAAUAGUCUCCGAGCACUCCAAAGCCUAUAAUUGAACAAAUAACACCAUAAUAAGUCUUACCUCAUGAUUAAUCAAAAUCUCGAAACCAAAAUACUUACCCACAAAAAUUAACACUUACCACAAAAAUUUCAAAUCAGUACGUUUACAAAAAUCACGAGGAGAGCCUUAAUCCUCGUGAAAUGCUGCUACCAACACCCCAAAAUUAGACUAUUGAACACAAAUAAUCUCUUCAAAUGAUACCCAACAACUUACUGAAUUUGCACAAGUGCUGCUUAACGCUACGAAAUUAAGAGGAAAUAAUGGUUUAGGGGGAAUAAGGGAAUUUUGACAGUAGAGGAAAGAAAAGAAAAGAUAAUCGAGUAAGAAGCAAAGAAGAAAAAAAAUUUGGUAGAGACGGGAGAGAGAAAACGUCAAAAAGAUAGAGAGAAAAACGACUCUAUCUUUUUUAGAAAAAGGAAAAAGUGAUCAGAUUUUGGAUAUUCUCCCCCAUAAUCCCCUAAUUCACUCCUAAAAUAGCUCCAUCACUUCCCACUACACAUCCACCACUCAGAAACCCAGUUCAGCACAACUCUUAUCGAAAUCAGGAGAAAAAAUAAAACCUUUAGCGUCCCAAAGAUUCGAACCCAUGACCUCUCACACACCAACACUCCACUUAUACACCAGACCAGCAGGCCCAUUCUGUUAAUUAUUUUCCAACUUUUACUUAAAAGCCUAAUGACCAAAGAUAGGGCCUAUUCAUAAAAAUACCAAAAUUUACCCAAGUCCUAGCUUGAACUUGGGACCUCCCAAACACUCCUAGAAAACAUAUUCACUAAAGCUAACAGAUGUUUGUGUCACACAUUCACAAUACCCAAAAUUAAAAUUUUGGGGUGUUACAAUUCUUCCUCUAAACAAAAUUUCGUCCUCAAAAUUUACCUGAUCAGGACAGAUGAGGACACUGCUAACACAUCUCAUACUCAGGCUCCCAUAUGGCCUCCUCAGUGUUAUGAUUACACCAUAAAAGCUUUACUAGUGGAAUAGAUUUCCUUCUCAGAACCUUAACGUUGCGAUCCAGAAUCUAAACGGGCCAUUCCUUAAAGGUCAAAUCUGGUCUAACCUCGACCUCUUCAAUAAGGACAAUAUGAGUAGGAUCAGAGUGAUAGCACCUAAACUUGUCCUCCAGUAUCUGAAUCACCCUCUCAGACUAACCAUCGAUAUGAGGAUGGAAUUCAGGAUUGAAGUCCAACCUUGAACCUAGAGUCUCAUGUAACUUUCUCCAAAAUCGGGACGUAAAAAAGGAUCCUUAUCAGAGGUGAUCGAAACCGGUACUCCAUGCAGUCUCAUUAUCUCAGAAAUAUAAAGCUUCACCAGCUUGUGCGGAGAAUAAUCAGUACGAACCGGUAUAGAAUGGGUGGACUUGGUCAAUCGAUCCAUGAUGACCCAUAUUGAAUCCUUCUUAGUGGGUGUUAGAGGCAACCCAUUAACAAAAUCCAUAGUUACGCGCUCUCAUUUCCAAAGAGGAAUCUUAACCGGAUGCAGCAAACCCGAAGGUAAUUGAUGCUCAACCUUAACCUGCUGGCAAGUCAAAAAUCUGCCCACAAAAUUAGUAACCUUACAUUUCAACCCUGACCACCAAUAUAACUCACGAAGGUCUUGAUACAUCUUAUUUCCGCCAAGAUGCAUAACAUAUGGGCUGCUAUGCGUCUCUCUUAGUAUGGCCUGUCUCAAAUCAGUAUCAUUCGGAACACAAAUUCUCCCAUGGAAACAGAGUACCUCAUCACUAUUUAGUCCAAAAUUCGUAGUACUACCAUCCUCAAUCUACCGGAAUUGAAGACCUAAUGACUCAUCCCCCAACUGCUCACCUUUAAUCUGUUCAAUCCAUAACGGCUUAACUUGAAGCUCGGCUUAUAAACUACCAUCAUCAUAUAAACUUAGGCGAGCAAAACAUCACCCUCAAAUCAGUCACAGCCCUACGGCGUAGGGCGUCAGCCACCAUAUUGGCCUUACCAGGGUGGUAUUCAAUCGUACAGUUGUAGUCCUGAAGCAGCUUAAUCCAUCUAUGCUGUCUAAGAUUUAGCUCUUUUUGAGUGAGGAGAUACUUGAGACUCUUGUGAUCCGUGUAGAUGAUACACUUUUCACCAUAUAGGUAAUGCCUCUAGAUCUUUAAUGCGAAUACCACUGCGACCAACUCUAAAUCAUGUGUCGAAAAAUUUGCCUCAUGAGUCUUAAGUUGACGAGACGUGUACGCUACAACCUUUCUGUCCUGCAUCAACACACAUCUCAAAUUGACAUGUGAUGCAUCGCUAUAAAUAGUAAACUCUUUUUCAGACUCUAGCUAUAUCAAAAUAGGGGCCUCAGUUAGUACAGUCUUGAGCUUCUCAAAGCUCUAUUACUGCAAACCAGUCCAGCUAAACGGCACACUCUUACGUAGUAGCUUAGUCAAAGGUGCUGUAAUCAAAGAAAACCCCUCUAAAAAUUAUUGAUAAUACCUUACCAGUCCCAGAAAACUGCGGAUCUCAGAUACAAUCUUAGGCUGCUUCCAAUUUAAGAUUGCCUCAAUCUUUUGAGGAUUGAUUCUAAUGCAUACAGCAAAAACCACAUAACCCAAAAAUGUUACUUCACGUAACCAAAACUCAUAUUUACUGAACUUGGCGUACAGUUGUUUCUCUCGCAGAUUCUGUAGAACCACUCUGAGGUGUUCAUCGUGUUCAUCCUCAGUUUUUGAAUACACUAGUAUAUCAUCAAUAAAUGCCACUACGUACCGAUCUAGAUAGGGCUGGAACACUCGAUUCAUCAGAUCCAUAAAAGUUGUCGGUGCAUUCGUCAGUCCAAAUGGCAUCACUAGGAACUCGUAGUGACCAUGACGAGUCCUAAAUGUCGUCUUAUGUACGUCAUCCUCUUUAACUCUCAACUGGUGAUACCCUGACCUUAGAUCAAUCUUUGAGAAAAUCGAAGCCCCUCAGAAUUGGUCAAAAAGAUCAUCUAUCCUCGGUAGAGGGUACUUAGAUCAAUCUUUGAGAAAAUCUGUACGCAUGGAUCCAUCUUUCUUUUUCACAAACAAUACUGGUGCUCCCCACGGAGACACACUAGGACGGAUGAACCCACGAUUCAAUAAAUCUUGAAUCUAGGCCUUAAGCUCCACAAACUCUUUCGUUGCCAUUCUAUAAGGGCAAUGGACACCGGAGUUGCACUAGGAAGGAGCUCUAUCCCAAACUCCACUUCACGAUUUGGAGGUAAACCCUGUAGCUCGUCAGAAAAGAUGUUUGGAACAUCCUUUACUGUUCUGAUAUCCUUAACUGUAGAGUCCCUAGAAUUGGAAACAUUUACAUAGGCCAAGAAUACCUCACAUCCUUUACGAACCAACUUCUUCACCACCAGUGUAGAUAUCACAUUAGAUAAAUAGUUCCGACGUUCUCCAAUCAUGACUACCUCCAUAUUCUCCUCGGUGAUUUUUACCUUCUCGACUAGGGCAGAAAGAUCCCACUCCCCCUGUGGGGCUAUCAGAACUCUCAAAUUAUCUCUGAGGUUAUCCUCAAAACGGACACAUCACUCAUUCUCGACCUCAUACUCAGCCACAUUAGGGUAACCCAAGUGACACCCCUAAAUAGCUCAGCUCCAUUGGACCGGAGUUAUUCCAUAAAUGACCUUCGACCCCCAAAUCCAGUAUUGGGCCCAGCGACCUUCUCCAAAAUCUUUAGCAUAGCCUGGGACAAUGCAUCGUCCCCAACCAUGCGAUCUUGAGACCCAGUCUCAGUAGUAGACGACACUGGAGUCUCACUUGUAUCCAAAUUUGGCAGACUACCCGAUGAUGAGGACUCAGCUCGAGCCCCUCUAUAGCCUUUACCUUGGCCUCUAGCACCCCGUCCGCGAGUACCUCUGGUGCUCAUUGUCUAAUUGUGUUUUAUCGGUAGUAAAAGUUUUAUGCAUCAGUUUACAGUUCCAGGGUUUAUUAACAGAUAUAUUUUUGAAAACAGUAUCAGAAGUGUAAAGUUUGUUUCAUCCAUAGCAGUGUCAAUCAAUGUCUAUCAGUUUUACUACAGUAUCAAUAUACACUAUUUUAAGUGUUUUUAGUAUAGUCUAUCUAUAGUAGUCUCAGUAUAUACUAUCUAUAGAAGUUUCAGGAUAUACUAUCAAAGACAGUUUCAAUUUCAGUUUAAACAAUUCACAGUUUCAAAAAACUUACUGGAUCGGCGCCGGAGACUCGGUGUACUACACUUUCAGUAAAAAAAUUUAAAAAUCAGUUCUUAAAAAUCACGUCUUAAAAACCCACAUCCACAGCCAAAUUGUACAACUUGGCUCUGAUACCACUAAAUAUAACACCCCAAACCUGACUUAGAUGUUAUGACCGAAUUUGAUGAUGUCAUAGGGUAGUGCUUUUUUAAAAAUAUGUCAUCGUUCUUUUCCAAAACAUUAUUCAUUUACAAAUCGUUAUUCAAUUUUAAAACCUUUUUUAUUACAGAAGCUUUUAAACAAUUUGCGUAUUCGUGGUAUUGUUGAUAAAACAUUAAUUUCAUUUGAAAAUCUGAGUUUUACCUAACACUAGCAGAUUCAAAUAAUAAAAUUGUAUAAAAACCCAAAUUUAAACCAAAAUCCGUAAAGGCCAUAAUUACAACAAAAUACUCCCAAAGAAAAGUAAAAUCAUAAAUAGGUAAUAAACAGUGUAAAAAAAGUCGUGUGGCCACCACUGAGUCCUCCGCCGCACUAAUCCGCUUAUUUCUGGGGAUUACCUGUACAGAUUAAAUAGAAAUGGGUGAGUUUACGUAAACUUAGUGUGUAAUCCCCAUACAAAUGAACAGACAGUAAACACAUAAUCACAGUCUGGGCUUAAGCCCUUUUCAGUAUCAGUAUUAGUCCAGUUUGGGCCUUAGCCUAUAUCAGUACAAAAACAGUCAUAUAGUAGGGCUUUAGCCCAUCAUUGUAUCAGUAGCAGUAACAGAUAUGCAAUCAUAAAAAUCUUACCCAUCCAGCCUUUGCACACCAUCUUCAUCCAACUCUAAACUCCAUGUGGGCAUAUAAUCAAUCCACCUAUCUCUACACUCCAAGUAGUACCGAAUGCGGCACUAGACAGUAGUUUGCAGUUAAGCUGCCAGUAAAUUAGGCUCGAGGCCUUUCAGUACACUUCCUUCAAACAUUAUAAUUCACCAACCCAAUGUAAUGCAAUAUACAGACAUGACAUGCUAUAACAUAAUAUCAUGCAUGUAAACAUGGCAUACAAUAUCAAAUCAGUGGGACAUCAUCAGGCUUAAUCAUAUGAGUCAUACAAUCAUUUCAGUCAAUUAAGGGUUUAGGUAAAGUUACCAACCCUACAGUAGGUUCACAAUCGACUUGGAACUCGGCUCUGGAUUAUGGGUUUUGUAAAAAUUAGGCUUUCAAAAAAUUGAUUGAUUUUCAAAUGAUUUGAAAAAUUUUUACUGAGUAAGUGGUACACUGAGCCUCUGGCGUUGAUCUUGUAAGUAUUCUGAACUGUGAUUUAUUUUAAACUGAAACUGUUAUGGAUAGUAUAUUCUAAAACUACUAUAGGUAGAAAACUGUACUGAAAACACUUUAGUUAGUGUAUAUUAAAAAUUGUAGAGAAACUGAAAACUGUAGUGAGACUGUGAUUUACGAAAACGAACUCUGAAUGACCGAUACUCUUUUACAUAAAACAUUUGUUAAUAAAUACUAGAACUGUAACUGAUUCAUAAAAAUUAUAAUACCAGAUAAAUUCGAUUAGAUAUGAGCACACGAGGUAAAGGCUGUAGAGGGGCUCGAGCUGAGUCCUUUUACUUGGGUAAUAUACUGAAUUUAAACACGAGUGAGACGCCAGUGUCACUUGCUACUGAAACUGAGUCUCAUGAUCGCAUGGCUGGGGACGACGCAUUGUCCCUAGUACAGCUCUGGUGUCUAUUGCCCCAUACCGAAUGGCACCGAAGGAGCUUACAGAGCUUAAGGUUCAAAUUUAAGAGUUAUUGGAUUGUAGGCUCAUCUGACCUAGUAUGUCUUUGUGAGGAGCACCAGUACUAUUUGUAAAGAAGAAGGAUGGAUCCAUGUGGAUAUGCAUCGGCUAUCGGCAACUGAACAAGAUGAUCAUUAAGAACAAAUACCCCCUACUGAGGAUAGAUGACCUGUUUGAACAAUUUUGAAAAGCCUUAAUUUUCUCCAAGAUUGACCUCCGAUCUGGAUAUCAUCAUUGAAGGGUUAAGGAGACUGAUCUUCAUAAGGCAAAGUUUAGGACUUGUUAUGGUCAUGUAAGUUUAGUAAGUACGAGUUCUGGCUGCGUGAGGAGAUAUUUCUUGGUCAUGUAGUUUUGGCUGAGGGGAUUCAAGUUGAACCUCGAAAGAUUGGGGCUGUGUUGGAGUGGAAGCAGCCUAGGAAUGUGUUUGAGAUCCAUAGUUUUCUGGGACUGGUGGGAUAUUAUCUAUGAUUUGUAGAGGGCUUUUCAUUGAUUGCAGCACCCUUGACUAAGCUGCUAGGUAAAUGUGUGCUAUUUAACUGGACUGAUGCACAACAAGAGAGCUUUGAGAAGCUCAAGAUUGUACUGACUGAGGCCCUUAUUUUGAUACAGCUGGAGCUUGGAAAGGAGUUCACUGUUUAUAGUGAAGAGGCACAUGAUGGUUUGGGAUGUGUGUUGAACUCUGAGGGACUUCACUAACAGACUUUGGGUUUAACUCUGAGGGUGUGUUGUGUUUCCAAGGCCGAAUAUGUGUGCCAAAUAAUUCAGACUUAUGGCAAUCUAUUUUGAGAGUGGCGCAUAGUAGCCCUUAUGCUAUGCACCCUAGCGAAAAUAAGAUGUAUCGAGAUCUUUGAGAGUUGUAUUGGUGGCUAGGGUUGAAGCGAGAGGUUUUAAAUUUUGUGGCUAGAUGCCUGACUUGCCAGCAAGUUAGGGCUGAGAAUCAGUUGCCUUCGGGAUUGCUACAGUCGAUUAAGACUCCACUAUGUAAGUGAGAAUGAGUAACGAUGGAUUUCAUUAGUGGGUUGCCUUUAACACCCACUAAGAAAGAUUUAGUGUGGGUCAUCGUGGGUCGAUUGGCUAAGUCUGCACACUUCAUCUCAGUUAGGACAAAUUAUUCUUUGCAGAAGCUGGCGAUGCUCUAUAUUUCUGAGAUAGUGAGACUACAUAGGGUAUCGAAUUUGAUCAUCUCUGAUAGGGAUCCUCAUUUCACGUUUCAAUUUUGGAAAAAGGUGCAUGAGACUCUGGGUUCAAGGUUGGACUUUAGUACUGUGUUCCAUCCUCAGACCGAUGGCCAGUUAGAAAGGGUGAUUCAGGUACUGGAGGAUAUGUUGAGGAGCUAUGCUAUUGAUUUUUGAGGCAGUUGGGAGGAUUAUCUGCUGUUAGCAGAGUUUGCCUAUAAUAAGAGCUUCUAGUCUAGCAUCUAGAUGGCACCUUACGAGGCACUGUAUGGUCGUAAGUGUCCCACUCCUUUAUGUUGGACUGAGUUGGGAGAGUUGGUCUCUGGGAUAGAGGACAAGGUUAGAAUGAUUUAGGAUCGUUUGAAAGCGGCUUUUGACAGGCAGAAAUCUUAUGUGGAUUUGAAGAGGCGUUAGAUCGAGUAUUCUGUGAGGGACUUCGUUUUUCUCAAGGUCUCACUGUGGAGAAGGUACUGAGGUUUGGUCGUAAGGGCAAGUUGAGCCUUAGGUCUAUUGGACCUUACCGUAUUCUAAAACAAGUGGGACCAGCUGCUUAUCUGUUGAAGCUACCUCUGACAUUGGAUCGUAUCCAUGAUGUGUUCCAUGUCUCUAUGUUGAGGCAUUACCGCUCUGAUCCUACUCAUAUUGUCCCUGUUGAGGAGAUUGAGGUUAAGCCAGACUUGACCUUUGAGGAGGAGCCUGCCCAGAUUCUGGAUCAUGAAGUCUAUUCCUUUGGUGAAGGUUCUUUGGCGUAAUCAUAGCACUGAGGAGGCCACGUGGGAUCCUAAGGAUGCGAUGCGUCAGCAGUAUCCUUAUUUUUUGUGAUCAAGUAAAUUUUGAGGCCGAAAUUUUCUUUUAGGGGGUAGAGUUGUAACACCCCAGAAUUUUUAUUUUUGUUCUUGCGAAGGUGUGACACAACUGUGUAUCUACUUUAGUUGUUAAGUGUUCUGGGUGUGUGAGAGGUCCCAAGUUCAAGCCAAGACUUGGGCAAAUUUUGGUAUUUUUAUGAUAUCUUUGGUCAGUAGGCUUUUAAGUAAAAGUUGGCAAAUAAUUAACAGAAUGUGCCUGCUAGUUUGGUGGAUGAGUGGAGUGUUGGUGUGAAUGAGGUCCUGUGUUCAAUUCUCUGUGAUGGCGUGGAGACAACAUUUUUGAUCCAAUUUCGGCUAAGAGUUGUGUUGGGGCAAAAUUUUGAGUAGUUGUGUUUUAGUAGGAUAAUAGGGAGUGAUUUUAAGAGAUAAUGAGGGAGAGGUUAUCAUAAAAUAAUCUAACUAUCUUUUGUUGUAGAAAAAAAGUAGGGUUUCAGUUUUCUCUCCAAUUACCCAAACUUUUUUUGACAUUUUCUUCUUCUUCUUUCCCUCUUCUGUCGAUUCUUUUCCCAAGUUGCUACCGAAAUUUCCAUUACUUUUUCACCUUUUUUUUCUUUAUUUUCCAAUUGAUUUGGUUGUUAAUCGUUGGUUACGUGUGUUCGGUGAGUAACAGUUUUGUCUAUUGUUAAUCGUUCAUGGUUAAUCUCUGAAAGGGGAUUCCUUUCUGGUGUUUGGGAGUUAAUCAAGGGGCUGGUGGUUUUGAAUCGACGCUGCGAUUGUGCGAAGUCAUGGUUACUCAAGCGAGGUAAGGGUUUUGUUAGGUUUUUAGUCGAGUUCCUUCCAAAAUUGGUUGAUUAAAAAUGAAUUAAGUGAUUAAUCUAGAGAUUUGUUGGUCAAUUUUUAGGUACUGAAGGCUUAAGAGUGCUUACAUAUCAGAAACGAGGGCAAGUCUGGUGCUAGCAGCCGCGGUAAUUCUAGCUCCAAUAGCGUAUAUUUAAGUUAUUGUAGUUAAAAAGCUCGUAGUUAGACUUAGGGGUGGGUCGGCCGGUCCGCCUCACGGUGAGCACUGGUCUGCUCGACCCUACUACCGGCGAUGCGCUCCUGGCCUUAAUUGGCCGGGUCGUUCCUCCGGCGCUGUUACUUUGAAGAAAUUAGAGUGCUCAAAGUAGGCCUACACUUGUAUACAUUAGCAUGGGAUAACAUCAUAGGAUUUCGAUCCUAUUGUGUUGGCCUUCGGGAUCGGAGUAAUGAUUAACAGGGACAGUCGGAGGCAUUCGUAUUUCAUAGUCAGAGGUGAAAUUCUUGGAUUUAUGAAAGACGAACAACUGCGAAAGCAUUUGCCAAGGAUGUUUUCAUUAAUCAAGAACGAAAGUUGGGGGCUCGAAGACGAUCAGAUACCGUCCUAGUCUCAACCAUAAACGAUGCCGACCAGGGAUCGACAGAUGUUGCUUUUAGGACUCCGCCAGCACCUUAUGAGAAAUCAAAGUAUUUGGGUUCUGGGGGGAGUAUGGUCGCAAGGCUGAAACUUAAAGGAAUUGACGUAAAGGCACCACCAGGAGUGGAGCCUGCGGCUUAAUUUGACUCAACACGGGGAAACUUACCAGGUCCAGACAUAGUAAGGAUUGGCAGACUGAAAGCUCUUUCUUGAUUCUAUGGGUGAUGGUGCAUGGCCGUUCUUAGUUGGUGGAGCGAUUUGUCUGGUUAAUUCUGUUAACGAACGAGACCUCAGCCUACUAACUAGCUACACGGAGGUGAUCCUCCGUGGCUAGCUUCUUAGAGGGACUAUGGCCUUUUAGGCCAAGGAAGUUUGAGGCAAUAACAGGUCUGUGAUGCCCUUAGAUGUUCUGGGCCACACGCACGCUACACUGAUGUAUUCAACGAGUCUAUAGCCUUGGCCGACAGGCCCGGGUAAUCUUUGAAAUUUCAUCGUGAUGGGGAUAGAUCAUUGCAAUUGUUGGUCUUCAGCGAGGAAUUCCUAGUAAGCGCGAGUCAUCAGCUCGCGUUGACUACGUCCCUGCCCUUUGUAUACACCGUCCAUCGCUCCUACCGAUUGAUUGGCCCGGUGAAGUGUUCAGAUCGCGGCGACGUGGGCGGUUCGCUGCCCGCAACGUCGUGUGAAGUCCACUGAACCUUAUCAUUUAGAGGAAGGAGAAGUCGUAACAAGGUUUCCGUAGGUGAACCUGCGGAAGGAUCAUUGUCGAAACCUGCCUAGCAGAACGACCCACGAACGCGUUGUAAACAACACCGGAGGUGGUGCGGGUGCAUCUUCACCUCUCGCCACCCCCGUGUCUCGGAGCGGCCAGUCUCGUCGUCCCUUUGCCCGUCGGGUGGGGUAAGAUGCCGGGAUCAACCUCUUCGACGCAAAACGAACAAACCCCUGGCGUGAAUCGCGCCAAGGAAUCGAAAUGAAAAAAGGGGGCACGUCUUCUGUCGCUGCACCGUUCGCGGUGUUGGUGCUUCAGUGAUGUUGUUCUCUUGUCGCAAAAUAUACAGAACGACUCUUGGCAACGGAUAUCUCGGCUCUCGCAUCGAUGAAGAACGUAGCGAAAUACGAUACUUUGUG
rnacentral:lncRNA from 1 species